rnacentral:lncRNA from 1 species
UCUCUCCCUAACUUCACAUGACAGCAACAAAAGCUGUCAUUCCCAUCAACUCAUUUAUUUUCCCAUCGUUGCCACUCUCUCAACCGAGCUUUCCACCUCCAUCCACCGUUUUCUAGAAUUCAGCUGCAACUACUGGACGGCCUAGACCGUGCGAGAAGCGAAAUAUAGAAGAAAGAGAAGAGCAGCCUAAGCCGAGCAACAGUUCUCUUCCUCACGUACCUCGCCGGAGUUCUUCAGUUUCGAAGCUGUUGUUUCAAUCCCGAGCGCUUCUCUCUACACUGCAGACGAUAGCCAGCACACCUCCUCUCUUUCUUGCGAAGUGAUCGACGACGCCAUUGAUGAGAACUCCAACUUGAUCAGCAGCUUUCGUCGGAAUGGCUUGAGCUGCGUUUGCGAGAAGUUUGGUUAAAAACUUGCAUUUCAGGCCUUGAAAGCUCCAUUUCUGGUGCUGCAAUUCUCGGCGUAGCUGGAAAGGUGAAGUACUUGGGUGCUGGUUUUCUUCCCCGAGGUGUUGACGUAGUUGGAAAGGUUAAGUUUGGUUCACUGUAUCUAUUUUAUCUUAUUUUAUUUAUUUAUUUGUAUUAUUAUUAUUAUUAUUACUAUUAUUAUUAUUAUUAUUAUUAUUUAGGUUUUAUUCUCUUUUGUGUUUUUGAGCCUGUAUUUUAAAUUUUGAGACUGUAAGAAGGGCGGGAUUGUUAGUUUCUAGACUAAUAAGGCUUGUUUGGCCGAUAAUAUAGAAGGACGGUGGGAGAGUCAUGAUGAUUGCAUUGGGUUAAGGGGGUGUGGUCAUGUGAAAACAGAGUUCUUUGGAGGUUUCCAGAGGUCGUAUAAAAGCAGGGGAACCGCCUCUGUUAGGGAUCUCUUCGGCUGUAAUUUUUUUCGGCUAAGAAGAGGGCAGAGAAAAGGAUAGGGUUGAGAGAUCUCUGGGAAGAGUGUUUGGUAUGAGUCUAGACUUCCGACUGUUUAAUUUUGUAUGCUUCGUCUUCCUUUUAGGUUCCAUUUUCUCUAACUAUUUUGUGUAUUCGUGAAAAUCAAGCCUUAGAUCCUUUUUGAAAGAAGAAAAAUUAUAUUAUCACAUUCAAGUUUACUCUUUACUAAUCAUUUUAGAUACGAUGAUUAUAUUUUUAUUUCAUAAAAAGAAGAAAAAAUUAAGUUGCAAUAGUCAAUUUGUUUGUCCUUUUAUGUUAGUCAAUUCCUUUUUGAAACUUUCCAAUUUCUUUUAUUAUUUUAAUUAUUUUCCCUAAUUAAAUUUUUUUAAAAUCCCACUAGUUCCAAUUUAAAUUUUUUUUAAGCUCAAUCAUUCACCCCACUAACAAUUCUUUUUAAAUCAACUCAUCCACUAAUUCUCUACUCUGUUUUCCAAUCCAUUCUUCUAUUUGGAAUUUAAAAAGCCAUAUGGUCCUUUGCAGCUAAUUUGAAAUGCCCACCAGGGACUAAGCUCCAAGCCUGGUUCAAGCUGUGUCGCUGUAAUAUGGUUGUUGGACGGGUUAGAUAUCCAAUUUCAAGAGGAUUAGGACCUGUCAAAUUGUUCCCUGAAAGAUCCAUCCGGGACAUGGACUACAAAAUAUUUCCUAUAUAGGAUUCAAAUCUAUUCUAUUUAACUUUUUUAUACUAUAAAUAAAUAAAACAACUUUUUGUUAUUUUAUUUCUUUGUAUAGUAAUUAAAUAGAAAACAAAUAUAACAAGGUAGAUUAUAAUUAUAUUAAAGAACAAUUAGUCAAAGAAGAAAAAAUUGUUAGAACAACAAAAUUUAAAAGAAACACUAGAAAAGGUUAACUAAAAUUCAAGUACGAAUUUGAACAUAAAACCUCGUUUUAAUAACUUUCCUUAAGACUAAAUUGGGAUUCUUAGUACUUUUGAAGUAUUACCAUUUUAGUAUGCAUACUAGAUCCUUGUCUAAAUUAUAAAAUUAUUUGCAAUGUGAUGAUAAACAUAGAUACUUUUUUGUGUACUUACAUUAAAAUUUAGUGUUGGUAUUGAUUAAUUUGAAAAUAAUGUUAUUAAAGUGAGUAAAUAAUUAAUAAAAUUUUGGAAAUGAUUAAAAAGUAGACCGAAGACUAUGCUGAAAUUUCAUAGGAAUUUUAAAAUUUUAACUUGUUAGCUAUGACUACUUUUCUUGCUUAUAACUAAGUUUGGGAUUAUGGUUGCUUCUAGGGUGUUACAAUAUUAGCAUAUAAAUAUUAUAUCUUGUUUGAAAUUUAAUAUUAUUUAGUAUAACAAACUUAGAGACUUAGAAGUUUUCUUGCCCUAAAAUUUGAUUUGGUUGUUAACUACUAGAAAAUUUGACAACAAAUUAAUCAUGUGAUGGUUUGAAAAAUGUCUAUGAAAUAUGGGAGAUAGAAAUUUUAGUUUACUAAAUUAUUAUGUUUGAAUAUUUUUUUAUUUCUUGUAUUUUUUUUUCUUUUUAUUUUUGGCAUUUCCCUCAUGGGGCUGUGGAUUUGCUAGAUCCUAAGACUGGUAAAGUCUUUAAGAUUAAUGCCGAGAGGGUUAAGCCAUUUGUGAAGGGAAUCAAUGAAGUUGGGGAUCAAAUCCCCCUUCAAAUUAAUGUUGCUCACUAGACCAAACGUGUUUUUCUUCCUUUUGUACAUAGUUAGAGCUUUUACAGAGUGUUCAUUUCUUUUGAUGUUAUUUCAUUUUUUUUCUUUAUUUCUUUUUCUUUAUUUAGGUGGGUUGCUUCAUAAUUUUUAUCCCAAUAGCUCUCAUGGAUCUUAAAUUUGCAUGAUUUCUUGUAGACUUGUGGAUUCCAUAGUUGUUUGUGGUUGUUGCCCUUUUUUUCUCAAGUGUCAAAUUUGUACUCCCCAUUAAAAAGGAAAAAAAGAAAAAAAAAAAAGAGAAGUGCAUUAAGGGGCUUGAAUUUGAAAGAGAGGACACUCAAGGCCCAAUUUUAAUAAAUCUUACUUUAUAUAAUUUAUAUAGUAAUUAAAUACAAAAGAAAUAUACUUAUAAAUAAAAUUAUAAAUAUUUUUAAAAAUAAUUAUACAUGUCAUCAUUAUUAUUUUCUUUACAUCCUUAAACAUAUCCAGACUAAGAGUUUUCAAAUUCUGUAAAUUAUUAUCAAAUGUCACAUAUUUUAUCCAUUAAUACACAUUAUUUUCUUUAAUAAGAUUGCUUAUGUGCAUUAGUAGUUGUUUUAUCAUUUUUUGUAAGUUACAACAUUUCUAAGUUUGAUCAAUUUUCGUCUUACAAUUUUUUUUUUUUGAAUUUGGGUUCCUUGUUUCCAAUAUUUCCCCGUGUUUCCCUAAAUCCAAGUAUUCAUAUUGUCACAAAUUCUCAUAUUUAAAAUGGGAUAUUGUGGACCCCGCAUUUCGGCUCAUGCAUUUUUCACUCAAUGGCGAGCUCGAUUUUUGUUUGAAAAAUGAUUUCUAUUGAUUAAGAAAAAUGACUUGGAGUCGCCACUUAUUUUUGUUUUAUUUUUAAAACAAAAUAAGAAAGAAAAACCCUAAGUGUGACUCCUUAUUUUGGAAAAGGCGGUCUGUGAAAAACCAGAUCGAGUUCAGGGGUCAGGUUACUUAUCGAGAAGGUACGAUAAAGACCGUAGCACCCCUCUAAGUCCCUAAAAUCGGGUCUCUACUAAUAAAAUGAAGCUGACACGACAAUUGAUGAAUGAACCAACGAAUACUCUAAAUGAUCAUGCACGUAUGAGAAUCCGAACAAGCAUAAGGAGUGACCAUGAGGCGAGUAAAUACGUACCUGGGUGGCGAACCGAUAUGCGCUAUCAAGAGAGGGGGUCAGUGCACAAUUUAAAGAAUAACUUCAAGCAUGUCAUAGAGCAGAAUAAAAAUCAAUCAUGCAUGACAAUUAAAUCAAGCAAUUAGUCAUGAAUUCACAUAUGUGGGGCCCCCACCAAAGCCCAUUUAUUUUUGCAUGAAUUAAUUCUAUAAAUUCAAUUAUUCGGAAUUACGGAAUUUAAAUUUAUGUUUAUUUUAAAACAUUUUAAAUCAUGAAAAAUUCGAAAGGGGCUCACCAAAGAAAAUGACGACCAAAUUUUAUUGAAAAUAGGAUUUUUGAUGAACCUAAGCAAAAGAAAAUCUAAGGAUGAAGAUUUGAAAAAGUUAAAAUUAUUUAGAAAUCUAGAAAUUGGAAAAACCAUUUGAAAACCGGGAAUUGGGAAAUUAUUUUAAAAUCGAAGACGAUGAGAUACAAAGAAAGGACACGUGGUUCGAAGGUGGCCAUGCUAAGCAUGCAGCGAUUUGGUGCAUCUACAUAUCCAUCCUUGCCAAUGAGGCUUGAUUGGGUGCUUCCCCAAGCCAAGUCUGCUAGCUGUUGGGACCAUUAUUGGCAAGCCCAAGUUAAGUCAUAUAGGAUUUCACACAAUCAUUAGAGCAGCCGAUUGUCCAAAUAAUCACAGAUUCAUCGCUUUUGUGAUCAACCCUUUCAAGUACAGCUCAAACCUGCUUGAGGAGGUCAAGAAUUCUUCACUUAGCUGCACAGUCAUCGCAAGAGGGCACAGUGGUAGAGCUGGACGUGCCAUUGUCAAUCUGUAUCAUGCUUACCAUUUCAGGAAUAAGGCCAAGUAGGAAUAAGGGGCACCAAGACCGACAGUAGCAAAGACUGCCUUCGGAAGAAAUAUUUAUGCAGCCAAGAACGAUGGUAAGGCUGCAAGAGAAGGCAUUUGUUUACCAGACGCGAGGCAUUCGGGUUGAGAACACCACCCAGAACUAUACCAUCUGAACCUGCUAAGGACACACUCAAACCACCAGUUCUAUGGCAGCUACCAUUAUCUUCUGAAAGCAAGAAGAAACCUGACAGAGAGAUAAUAUCAAAUCGACCCUCAUAUGAAACAGUAUCACCAGACAUAGCUGGCUAGCGAAGGGUAACAUUGCAGAUGACACCAUUUACAGAGAGGAUGUAAACUGUUCGGGGCCUUCUUUUCAAUUCCUCAACCAGUUUGUAAAAUGUCCUCUCCUUGCAUCAAAAGUCCCACAGCUCUUAAAAGGCAUUGAGAGCAUAAAGCAGGCUGACCGAAACCCAGCUCGCGGCUACAAAGACGAGACCCCAUGCACGAGGAUUAGACAUGCUCUAGCAAGGUAUUUUACAUCGAGAUUUGCAUAUUACAGAUGUUACAACCAGCAACUUUGGAGUGAGAAACUUCUCCUCUGCCCAGGUUGCGGAUCCCUUAAGCAAAUGUUUCAAGUGGCACUGACGUGAUUUAUCUUUUGGGUCAAAUCUAUGCAGGUUUACUGACCUAUGAUUGCCAUCUGGAGGGGUUUCAUGAUGGAAAUAACCACGUAACUGCUGUGUGGAAUAAGAUAAGAGUCCUAGGACCUAAGGAUGCAUUUGGAUGGAAAGAAGAAACUCAGCCACAAAGCAGCCUGCAGACCACAUAUCAUUGGCAGUUGUAUAUUCUGUAGCCCUAAAGAUCAGUUCUGGAGCUCUAUGAUACCUUGAGCAAAUAUAUGACUUGUUUGGUUCACCUGGCACCACCUUCUUUGAGCUUCCAAAAUCACAUAUAUGCAGCUGAUGAGUGUGGGGAUUGACCCAUAAAUUUUGAAGCUUGAUAUCACAAUGACAGACCCCAAUAGCACUGUGCAUGCAGUUAAGUGCAUGACAGAUCUGGUAUGCAUACAAUUGCACAUAUAUAAUGGGCACAUGCUGGUCCUUCCUGCUGUGAUGUCUUGAAACUUGGUAUGCAGUUUCAAAUACAGCUUCAAGAGCAAGAUUAAGGUACACUGCAUCUCUUUCAUUUCGAUUCUCAGUCACAUCCUCAACAAUUGCUCGUCUCAACAUCAACAUCACACGGAAGAACAAUAGCAAACUCAGGCUGUGGCAUAUUGCUUCCAUAAUGUUUGUUUCCAUUGGCAAUGUUUACUAGAAUUCUAGUGGAUUCUUGGACUUCAACUAGCUGUUGGAGUUCUUGGGCCUUUGGAAUUACAUGAUCCUUCAUGUGUGCCUAGUCAGGCAUCUUCCACAGACUAUCAAACAGAGCUUCAUAGUUCUCUAUACUCUUACCAAAGUCUACCAAUGCAUCCCACUGACUAAGCUGAGUAGCACAAUAAAUCCAUUGCUCCUCACAAAGACAUCCCAAUACAGGCAACCAACUCCAAACAUGAUACCCACACUAGAUAUAUCAGAGACAAAAGACACAGUGAAGGAAAACAGAGCAUGUGAAAGAAGUAACACGAUUAAAUCUGUCUUUCCUCCAUGAAAAUCAAAGAGAGUUAAGAACUGGUGGGAAGUUUUUGAGUCACUUUAACACAAAUAAAUAGUAUAAUCACAAUGCAACCCAUAUAGAGAGAAGAAAGAAAAACAAACAGAGACUAAGCAAAUGGAAGCUGGGAAACAGGUUUAACAUAUUAGACAGCCAAAAUACACAUCCAAAUAUCAGGAAGAAAAAUGGAAAGACUGAAAUAAUGGAGAACUCAAGGUGUAAAAACAGCUAAACCUGAGCGAUCCUUUCGAUCAAAAGUCGUUUGAUUCUCAGCAAGCCGCAACCUUUUUCCUCUGUUCCUUGCUUCUUCUGUGAAAGCUCUCUCUUCUCUCUCAAGUCACUCUCUGUUUCCUUCCCUGGACGUCUUGCCCUCCGAAUCACCUAAAGAUAUCUCUCUAAAACCCAGCAAAAACCAUCCCUCCUCUCUCACAGUUUUCUCUCUAAAAAGAAACCCCCCUUCAAAAAUCUCCAGCUAAAAAAACUCUACUCCCUCAAACUCACCCUCUCUGUCGUCGCCUUCUCCAGAAACAUGCUCUGUUUUCUCUCGCUUCACUCCCUCACCCCCUUCAGCCUUCUCUCCAAAAAGAAAAUCUCGAACGGCCUCCUCACCAAAAGACCUCACUGCCCUCACCUGCAGCCUCCACUACGCCACUAAUAACAGAAGACGCUCCUCAAGACAACGGCCUGCAGAUCCCCAUGCCACCUGUCAACCUUCCAUUGGCAUUUCAAAAGCACCAUAUGAUUCUGCACUGUCCUCUCAAAAGAAGACACGUGGUUGAGCAAGGCUCUUCCACGUGGCAAAAUGAGCAGCUGCAUGAAAGGCCCCAAAUGAGGGUCUACAGAUAUGUUAUAAUAUGCCACUUGUUAUCUGAUGGUUAGGGAGAGAAGAGCUUUGAUUUUUCAAAGAGUGCAUUUCUUGUGUGUAAUCCUGAGAAGAGAAAAUGUGUCUGGAAAAUCAUAUUGAAAAUACAGUGCGAAAUGUAAUAAAUUUUUUGGCUUGAUAAAGAGAAGCUUUCUUGAACAAGAUCUACAAAAGAAAAACUGAUCUGGAAGACCAGAAAUUGCAAUAAGCGGUAAUAGAGAGUUCAAAAAGUUCAAUAUUGAAAAGUUCUCUGGAAAAAGCUGACUUGGGUCCUUGGAGAGUCAAGAUGAAAGUACUCCUGGUUCAGCAAGUUCGGUUCAACAAGGUCUUUAAGAUGCCUUGAAAGGUGAAAAAAGAUCUACCAAAAACCUUAUCAGAAAAGAAGAAAAAUGACAUUCUUGAAAAGGCACAACGUGCCAUUAUCCUGAGUCUUGGAGAUAAGGCCCUUAAAGAAGUGUCAAGAGAAACAUCUGCAGCUGCUAUAUGGUUGAAGUUGGAGAAGCUAUACAUGACGAAAUCACUGGCUAAUAGACUCUAUUUGAAACAGAGGCUUUACUCUUUUAAGAUGGCAGAGGGAAAAUCCAUUGAAGACUAAAUGGAGAGUUUAACAAGAUUAUUAAUGAUCUUGAAAAUGUAAAUGUCAAUAUGGAAGACAAAGAUCAGGCAAUAAUACUUUUGAUUGCUUUACCAAAGUCAUACAAACGUUUUGUUGAUGCAAUGUUGCAUGAUUUUAAAAAUCGGACCGGACGAUCUGGUCAGACCGCAGACUGGUCACCAUUCCAGUCUGGUUCGACGAAUUGGACCAGGGAAGUGAUCGAAUUGACGAUCCCACUGGCGACUUGACGGUCCAAUCGGUGAACCGGACGAACCGUUCGGUUCAAUCUAUUUUUUUUCUUUCCUCCCAGCAUCCGUGUAGCUAUUCCCAUUGUCGUCGGCCACUGGAGCGUCGUCCCAGUGGCAGCACGCGCUGGAAACCACCUCCCGUCCCCUCCAACAUCCCCCACCCCCCACCAUCACGCGCGCUGAAAAGCCCUCCCCCCCCAAAACGCUGCAAAGCCCCGUCGCCGGCCACUCCGUCGUCCCGCCAGUAGCAGCACCCACCCACCCCCCGCCCCGCCCCUUCUCUCCUCUCUCAAAAGUCAAAAAUUUAAAACAGAGAGAAAUCAAACCCCUUUGGUGGAGGUGUGGCGGUGCUUUCCGGGUUUCUUGAUUCCAUUCUUGUGGGCUUUGUAGGACUGGUAUGCAAAGGUUGUACCGAAGUGGAAGAAGAACGAAGUUGUCACAGCUAUUAGGGUUAAGGUUAGGGUUUUGACUCAAAACACAGUGCCCUCUCACCUUCCUUCCAUUUUUGUUUUUUAAAUUUAAUUUUUAUGUUUUAUAUUUAAUAUCUUAAUAUUUAAUUUCUUCCAUUUUUGUUUUUUUGAAUUUAUUUUUUAUGUUUUAUAUUUAAUAUCUUAAUUUUUUUUGUUGAUUAUAAUUAUAAUGAUAGGUUUAAUAUUUAAAAUUUUUAUUUUUUUUAUAUUUAUUGUAUAUUGAAAUUUUAAUUUAUUGAAAUUAUUGAAAAUAUUGGGUUAAUUGACAUUUAUUGAUAAAAAGACCUUUAUGAAAAAACUCAAUAGAUAUUAUUAAAAUUUAGAUAGAAUUUAUUAUUUUUAUUUAAUAAUUUUUAAAAUUUUAAUAAUAUAAAAAAUAUAUAUUUAUGAUAUCACUAAUAGUCUUUCUUACCAGUGAACCGUGAAUCGAUAAUUUUUUCAGUUCAAUGAUCGGUCCGAUUCUAAAAACAUUACAAUGUUAUAUGGGAGAGAGCAAUCUCUAACAUUGGAGGAGGUUCAGGCGGCACUAAAAUUGAAAGAGUCCAAGAAGUUCCAAGUAAUAGAAUAAUCAAAUGAAGAAGGCUUUGUUGCUCGAGGAAGACCAGAAAAAUGAGACAAUAAGGGAAAAGGUAGAAAUAAAUCAAAAUCCAAGUUUAAACUGCGUUGCUACCAUUGUCAAAAGGAAAGCCAUUUAAGAAGAGAUUGCCCUGAAAGAAAACAAAAGCAAACAGACAAAUCAGAAGAACCGGAGGAUGCAACAGCUGCUACAGAUGGCAAUGAAUCAGCAUAGGGGCUUUCCAUGACUGAAAAAGAAUCCAAUAAAGAAUGAAUCUUGGACUCAGGAUGUUCCUUCGACAUGUGUCCAAAUAAGUCCUGGUUUGAAGUAUAUAAAUAGUGAUGAACGUAUGGUUUUGUUGGGUAACAACAAGGCAUGCAGGGUUGCUGAUAUAGGGUCAAUCAGAAUUAAGAUGCAUGAUGGUUUGGAAAGGGUGUUGCAACAAGUGAGGUAUGUGCUUGAACUCAAAAGGAACCUCAUUUUGGGUAUGUUAGAUCAGAUUGGUUGCUCAUUCAAAGCUUAAAAUGGUUGCUUGAAAGUUUUAAAAGGGAUCUAUGGCUAUUAUGAAAGGGGUAAGAAUAAGCAGCAUAUAUGUUCUCAUUGGAAAAGCAGUCAUUGGUGAAGUUGCUAUGCUGAAAAUCAGACAGUUGAUAAGACUAAGUUAUGGCACAUGAGAUUAGGCCAUGUCAGUGAGAAGGGUUUAUAAGAAUUGGGAAAACAGAAUUUACUAGUUGGAGAUAAGAUUUAUUCACUAGGAUUCAGUGAGCAAUGUGUUGGGAAAGGCCAAGAGAGUUAAAUUUGGCACUGGAACACACCAAACAAAGGAAAUUCUGGAAUAUAUCCAUUCAGAUUUGUGGGGGCCAUCUAAAAUCCCUACUCAUGCAAAUGGCAGAUAUUUUAUAUCGAUUAUUGAUGACUUCUCACGAAGAGUGUGGGUUUACAUACUGAAGAGUAAGGAUGAAGCCUUCUUAAAGUUUAAAGAAUGGAAGACAUUGGUAGAGAAUCAAACUGGAAAAAGGAUAAAGAGACUCAACAGACAAUGGGCUAGAGUAUUUUUCUGAAGAGUUUAACAAGAUGUGCUCACAAAAUGGUAUUGCAAGGCACAAAACAGUAAAAAAUAGCCCACAGCUGAAUGGGUUGGCAGAACGCAUGAAUUGAACCCUUCUAGAAAGAGUCAGAUGUAUGUUGUUGAAUGGUGGACUACCAAAAACAUUAUGGGAGAAGCUGUUUCUACAGCAUGUUUUCUGAUUAAUAAAUGUCCUUCAACAGCCAUUAACAUGAAAACACCUAUGGAGAAGUGGUCAGAUAAGCCUGCAGAUUAUAAUGGCCUAAAGGUGUUUGGGUGUUUGGCAUAUGCACACAUUAAACAGGAUAAAUUGCAACCUAGAGCACUCAAGGUGUAUUUUUAUAGGGUAUCCAGAAAGGGUAAAAGGAUAUAAAAUGUGAUGUUUGGAGACUGGCCAUAAGAAAUGUUUCAUAAGCAGAGUGUGAUCCCGCAUUUUCACAUGCGUUCUCACUCGAUAGCGAGACUCAUUUUUUAUUUGUGAAAAAUCAAUUUUAUAAAUAACGGAGUUGCCAAUUAUUUUUAUUUUAUUUUUUUAAAAGGGCAAACAAAAUAAGAAAUAAAAACCCUAAAAAAAUGACUCUUCUUUCUUUAGAAAGACCUGUCUUUGAAAACCAGAGUUUAAGUCCGAGGAUCAAGUUACUUAUUGGAAAGGUACAGUAAAAAACUCUAACACCCCUCUGAGCCUUAAAAGCUAGGUCUCUACUAAGUAAGUUAAGAUAUCUAUGAUAAUUAAUUGGUUAAUUAAUGGAUACUGAGAAAUAAGAAUCUUAAUAAUAAUAAUAAAAAUAAUAAAGGAGUUAGCGAGAUAGAUUCAAGGUGUACCUUAGAUGCAAGAUGAAUGCUAUCAUGAGAGACAAGGUCAAUGCACAAUGACAAGUGCAAAAUAUCCCACAUAAAAUUGGCCAAAAUCAAGCACUAUGAAUCAUGCACUUUACUUGAUUAUUUUUUAAAAAAAUAUUACAAAUGUUCCACCCCUCACCAAGGCCUAAUUUAAUUUUGCAUGAAUUAAUUCUAUGAAUUCCAUUAUUUGAAACCAUAAGUUUAUUCAUGUUUAUUGAAAUCGAGAAAAUCAAGAAAAUAAUUAAAAAAAGAAAAAAGAAAAUUAGGAAGAUGCAUGCCCGCAAGUGUUUAUUAAAAAUCAGGAUUUUGAUGCCUAAAAGCUCCUAAGAAUGGAAUUUUAAAGAAAAACUAGAGUUAUUUAAUGAAAAAGAUUUCCAAAUCCAAAUUUAAAAAGUGUAAGAUCACAAGGAAACGAAAAACAUCAGGAGGAGGAUGAUGCGCAUCAAGGUAACCAUGCGGGAAUGGAACUUGGAAAUUCUGGAUAAAAGAACCCAAUUCACUGGAAAAGUGUUCAGCUAUCAAAUAUGCUUCAAUUUAUAAGGAAACUUGAUUUGUAAGCUCAAUUGGAUUCUCCCCGUCGGUGGUCAAACACUAAACAAAAGGUACAAAAUCCCCAAUUUUCUACACUGACAGAUUUCUUGCAUUAUGUGUUAAUUUCUCACCACCAAGGUUUGAUUCAAUGGCUCCACUAGAAUAUGUACCCUUGUCAUUGCCAUCACUAAGCAGACUUCUCAUUUUUACUUUUAAUCCAUAAUGGAACUGAAUCUAUAAACGAAUGAUUUCCAUUAGUCAAGAUGGGCUAACAACGGUGCAGAGAAGGAACUGCUCGUUUCAUCUUGAGGGCAUGUAGUGCUCAAUUGAUCAACUGAAACAGUACUACAUAAGCUUUGCGACAUUUCUUCUUUGGAAGUCAAUGCAAUAUUUCCUAACAGAGAAGCUCUCCGAAAUAGAAGCAAUUGGUUUAACAUAACAUUUGUAGCUCUGUCCAACCCUAUUUCGCCACCAAGCCCAAAUGACCUUAAAUUUCUGCACAAUAUCUUCAGUAUUCUGCCCAUCUGCUUUUUCUUGGAAAGCCCGUCAGAGAUGCUUUUCUUCCAAUCUCUUAAUAUCUUCACUGAUUUCUUCUUCCUUCAUCUAUGCUUUGUCUAGCACCAAUUCUGGAAAGAUUCCAAUGCUCUGAAUUUCCAGCAGAAGUUUCUCGCUUAAAGACGUGCCUUUGUACCGAAUUCUGAAUAGGCGAUGCUAGGCAUUAAAUCCUGGUCUAGACGAAUAUCAUUAAAACUGUCAUGAUCAGAGAAGAGAUCUUUAAAUUUCUCAGCAAAAAUCAGCUUGGAAUUCCACUUGUUAGUCCACCAUAAGAACUAACAGAUUUCAAAAGAUUGCCACCUAGCUCUCCAGCUAAAGUUCUACCUUGACUCGCAGCCACUAAUCACCCUCCCAAGAAUUAGGUUCUGAGCAUAUUCACUUCUCUCCUAAAACAUGUAUGGAUUGUCAUGCUGGUAAAGAUAAAGUUCGCAAUAGUCCUUGCGGAGGUCUUGCUAUUGUGGAGGUUGGUUUGGACUCUUCUGUGGUUUCUGUUAUUUUAGAUUAAGGCCAUUAUAUCCUCUUUGCACAGGAAAAAUCAUCAUUGAAUGUUUCGCUUUAUCUUUAAUCACGAUCUGCCUCCUCAAAUUCUAGGAUCAAAGCACCUGCAUAAUUAUUCUGAGUUAUGCCUCUGCUGGAAGAUGGACAAGACUGCCUCUUAACUUCACCUCAAAUAACUGGAAUUUCUUAACCUUUACAAUUUGGAUGACAAGUUGGCUCUAAAGAGAGCUAAUUUCUAAUCAGACUGCACAGUAUUCGAAUCACGGUUUUUACUUUAAGAAGUGAAACAGAUUCACCAUGAGAUGCAAGUCUUUGAUCCAGCUUUAGUGCAGAAUUUGUAGAACCAGCCAUUGUCGAACUACUGAGUAUACAUUCUGAUACAAAUAAAAUCCUUUCUAUCAAAUGAGUUUCGUUCCAUCGCCUACUGUAAUCCUUUUUAAUUUUGAACAUGAGAGAAGAAGGAGAGCAUUUUAACUUUUGUUUCGAUUAUCCCAUUUCCAAUAGCAUUUGCCUCAACUUUUGGAGAAAAGCUUCGUCAUUUGGUCUGGCCAUUUGCAAUGCCUUCGGACAAUUCUUACAGCCUGCAUCAUCUUGAUCACUUGGUUUGCAGCAAAAACAGUUUGUUUCUAUGAGAGGAGCAAUUAUUGUUUCUGCGUUCAGUGUAUAGGUGGAUGCCUGAAACUCCAUUUUUUCAUCAAAAACUAAGUCUUCAUCAUAGGAUGAGUGCUAUUGAAGCAUUAGAAUUCAUCCAAUUAAAAUAUUUGAGCAUUCCAGAACCACUUGGCAGAGUACCUUCCAACUACAUGGGAAACAAAGGUGAAAUGCUUGGCUGGAUUCACGGCAAUGUAGUCCUCCUGUAAUGCAGCGAUUUCAAUGUACCUCUGACCGAUUUCAAAAGCAUUCUACUCUUCUUUGGGAUCUGCAGUCUGACUAACCCCAACAAAAAUUUCAGCACGUGUAUCAAGUGUCCAGACACCCUCAGCCAACAGAUCAUUUUGAUUAAAGUUGUAAGUUUCAUCAACCUCAAAUUUCCUUUUGCACCGAAUUCAGAGUUCAUCAUCUUCGUGAGUUUCCUCUAGGUGGGAAAACAACCACUCCAUUCCCAACUCCAUGCUGUUUACUCCAACUUACUACAGAGCCUCUUCUACUCUAAAUUUUGGAAAACCCAUCUCUAGAAUUAUUGAAAUAGCUGUCUCAUUUGGAGGGGGACCAGUUAAUCAAGCGCCUGCCUUGCUUUUGUCAUUUUUCACUUCAACUCCAGAAUAGAUGAGCCAAAUAACAGAAAUGAUUUUUGUAAUGAGAUCAUAACUACAAUCAGUAAAUUGUGGAUUCGUCCAAACUGGAAACACACCUUCAGCAUCACGAACUGGAGGGCCUUUACAAAUGUCCCAGCAUCCCUAGGAAAAGGAAUAUCACCAAUGAUCAGGGGUUGGGCAGGCAGUGCUUUGUAAAUGGAGAUAAAACAGAUGAUGAUGUCACUAGAUGGCCCAUUAGUUUUCCAUAGCUAGGUAAGAGACUGUAAACCUAUGAAUGAUCAAUUUCAUCCUUUCCAUCCGGCUUUGAAUUCCCAUCAUCAGUCUCCAUAGGUGGAGCAGGAGCCUUGUCAACCGUAAAAAGUAGUUGACUGGCAGCUACAAGUGUAGUCAAAACUAAUUGAACCAUCCCAUGUCCAUACAAGCAAUUCACCAGAACUCGAUUAUAGGAGUCUGGCCGGUCCAAUAGAAUGCCAUCAAUGAAAUCAGUAACUUUGCCAAAGUAGAGACAUUCUGUCGAUAUGGAUCCUAUGGUCCAGAUGGAUUUGCAGAACCCCCAAAAUUUAUGUGGUCCAGAGCAAAAAUGGAGACCUCAUAUUUUGAAGAAGGUGACACAUUCAGAGUAUCAUCACAUCAUCGAGGGAGCAGCAUGGCCUUUCCUGACUCUCGAAACAAAUGGGCAAUACGAAAAGAGAGCGAUCUGACCACAUCACAGCAUGAAAAAUAACACGAUCUCUGCUUUUUAUCUUCCUUUUUACUAAUGACUCCAGUAGAAACAGAAGAACCCGAAUGACGCAAUUGAUGACCAUCUGGAUCACCAUGAUAACAGGUGAAUAAUGAAAAAACAUGACCACCUCAAUGUCCAUGUGAAUUUAUUUGUUGAUAAGUUGUGCUUAUUCUUGUUUGCCAUUGUUUCUUUGAUUAGUAGCUUCUGAUUUUUAUGCUGAGCAGUUUCAAAUGCUUUCAAAUGAGCUUCACUAGCAGGAACAUGGUAGUUGACUAUUGACAUCACAUCCCUGCCACUAACUUUUUGAGUUAGUAAAUAUGAAUUCUAUUGCAACUGACUUUCCAACCAAUCUUGGAAAGUCUUUGGAUUCCAUUAGCUUCAGGAAUUAUAGCGAGUCAUGUUUUUGGUAAGCCCAAUACCACAUCUUCUCCAUAAAUCUGAAGAUCACAUAACAGAGCCAUUUCUAUCCUAUCACCCAAUGCUACUCCUUCAACUGUCACUGAAGGAAUCCCUACACUUUCAAUGGUCAAAAAGCCAUAUAAAACUACAACUGCACACCCAAGCUUCAUGGCCUUCAUGUUCUGAUAUAGUGCACUGAAAUAUAAUAAUUUCUUAUCUGAACUUAAAUGAUCUCCGAAGAAUGCUUCUCAAUUCUGAAAGAUUCACCAGUCAUAUACUAUCUGUUAUUACCGAACUCAAUUUGAGCUCCAUUUACACAUCUCUUGUUCUUCUUUCCCCUCAAGCUGCCUUACUUUUGAAGAUUCAAGUAAUCAUCAGAUGCAUUGGAACUCUUACCAAAACCAAAGCUCCUCUGGGAACCUUUACUAUUUACAGGUGUUCCAAUAUUUGGACUCCUUGUCAACAUCGAUUCUUUCUUUCUCAUACACUUCAUCGAUGUAUUUCCAAUUCAUCAACAACUUCAAACAGAUUAGAAAGAGAAAGAUUCUAGUGCACUACGACGGCAGGGCCUCCCAUAUGGCCAAUAAUAAUGUCGAAUGAUACCCUAGUGAGCCAACUGAUUUUUUUCAGCUUAGUUGUGGCUUAAAACUCAGUCUGGAGCAAUGUUUUGCUGACCUCACAAUCUGAGUCAUAAUGGUAACCUGCAGGUCUCUAAUCACACGGGAAUGCAGUGGUUUACCUGGCUCUAGAAAUGAAGGAUCCCAGCAAAACCACAAAAGGAUCGUAUAUACAGUAGAAACAAAAAGAAAAAUGUCCCAAAACAGAGCAUGACCAAAAUAACAAAUAAAUAAACGAACCAUUAAACAGAAACCCACUUCAUGCUGAAUUCAAUGGGUUCAAAGAUGAGUGGUACAACUGAAAGAUUCAAAGCAAAUACUAAGAUAAAAUCAUCAAAGAACUCUCAAUAUGAAAGUGGAACAUGUUCAAAUCAAUUCUCAAAUGAAAUCCCAAGAGCAUGAUAUAAAAGAAAACGAUUUCAAAUUCAACAUCAGUCCAUAAUCAACAGAACUCAUAAAUGGAAAUGAACAUAGGAGUUAUAGUAAUCAUACCUGAGAACAUCUCUCUUCUUCUCCAAAGACCGGUAAGUUCUCUUUCUCCAAAGCCAAAGAACUAGCUGAAAUCCUCCUCCUCUCCUCUAUUAUCUUCUCUCUUCCCUUGCCUUUUAUAGCCUGCUACGAAUCUCAAAAUGUCACGCCCCAAGACCCACUCCAAGGGCGUGAUGGUCAUUUUACACCUCAAACCCGAAGGCUUAAAGUGUAACCUGACCCAAAUAAAUAUAUUGUAACUGGAAGUAACCAAUUACCAAAUACCUAUUUAGAGUAGCGGAACAAAAUUAUAAAAUCUUCAAACUUAACUUUAAAACUAAGCAUCCAUCAACCAAAAUCCAUUAUCUAAAUAGAUUGCGAACUCAACAAAUCAAGUGCUAACAAAUCUUCAUAAUCUCUAAAUCUCAACUUCAAACUAUCAUAAAUAAAAAAAAUAUUUAAAAGUUCAAUAUCUAAAUAGCUUCCAAAAACCAAAUAAUCCAAAUGAACAUAAACUUAUAAGCUACCAAUGUUCAAAAAUAACAUCCUAAGAAAAAUCCUAAUGAUGACCAUUUCCCGACCUAGCCAUCACUUCUUGCCCAAACUAAGGGUACCUGAAAAAUUAUCAACAAGGAGAAUGAGCUCAAAGCCCAAUAAGGAAUAUUAAUGUCGUCCAUGGAUCAAAUAUUUUAAGUUCACUUACAAAAUAGGAGAUAUUAUAACUAAUUAUUUUCAUAAACCUUUGAGUCAAUUUUGUCAAUACAUUCAAAACUUUUAACUGUACACUUUCAUUUCUGAUUCAAACAUUUUCAUAUCAAAUCCAAUCAAAACGUUCAAAUUAUUUAUUUACUCUGGUCAUCAAACAUCAAAUGGUGCCCAGUUAGGUGGGACAUUUCAAAUAGGUGGCUAGCCUCAAAUUGUUCCUUUAAGGUGGACGGAACCAAACACUACUAGUACUAGUAACCUCUAAUCAAACCCCUAGAGGCUGAAGUCAAAAUCAAUUACAUUCCUCACUAAGAAAUGUAAAGGUCAACUAUUAUAUCCCGUUGACAAAGGCCAAAAAGUCAAAAGUCAACUAUUUUAUCCCGUUGACAAGGGCCAAAUAAACAAGAGUCAAACAUUUAUUUCAAUUAUUCAAAUUUGCAAAACAUAAUAUCUCCACAUGUCUCUAUUAUAAACAAAAUGUAAGGUUCUAACAUACUUUUCAUGCAAAACAUAUUUGAUCCAUGUAUAAAACGAAUAAUAACUCAAAAUAUUUCCAAAUGAUGUAUAUAAAAAUUUGUUUCUAAAAAAAAAAAAAAAAAAAAAACAACUGCAUUAAUUUCCCUUACCUCAAAAGAAAUUCUUGAAGGCUUGGGAGAAAAAUAAUUCUAGAAAAAAAAAAUUACUCUCCACCUAAUAUAACAUAAGAGAAACAAUUAUUACUAUUUAUCUAUAAUUUAACUAAUCUAUUCCUUGUUUAAAUAAAACUAAUAAAUUCCCAAUUUGUUUCUAAUAACACAUUACUAAUUUAAUUAAAUUACAAUUUUAUUUCAUUAUAAAAUUCUAUAUAUAUUUUGCUAAAUCUCCCAUUCUAUUUAUUACAAUAAACCAUUAUUACUAUUAUCUUAUUUAUUAAUCUAAAACUAAAUAUUAUUAUUUGAUUAAUUGACCAACUCAAAAGCCACCCAAACCAUUACCCACUUGUCUCAGGUAUACCAAACCAAUAAAACAAAGCAAUAUUUUUUUUUUCAUUGCCAUCAUCAUUAUUAUGAUGAUUCAUUAUAUAUAUAUAUAUAUAUAUAUAUAUAUAUAUAUAUAUAUAUAUAUAUAUAUAUAUAUAUAUAUAUAUAAAAGCCUUCAUUCCAUCUGGGCACACGCUCUUUUUUUUUUUUUCAUUCCGGUGUGCAUACACGUGUUUUUUUUGCUUUUUUUUUAUAACAUUUUCUAGUCCCUUCAACCACAAAUAACAAUAUAUUUAUUUACUUUUUUUUUUAUUUAUAAAAAUUAGCCCUAACCUAAAAUCGAAACCUUCCAAGGAACCUUUUUUUUUUCAUAAAAAAAACUUAAAAUCUCCCAAAUUCCACCAAUAAAUCAAAAUCUUAAAUUUUAUUAUUAUUAUUUUGAUAUUAAAAUGAAUUAAAAAAAAUAAGUAAACUAACCCUAAUCUAGAUUUGGGUUUUCCAAAAGAUAUAUAAUGUGUUUGAAAUUAACCAAUAAAUCUAAAAUAUUAAACUAGGGGUUAGAAUCUUACCUAGAGAGAUUUGUUCUUCAACCUUGAAAUGUGACUCCAACCUUACGUUCUUUGGAAUUCUGCGAACAGGAACUCUAUUCAGAAAAGAAUAGGAAGAAUAUAAUUUCUAAUUUAUACCUAGGGUAUUUAUUCGUAAAAUUACAUUUUUACCCCUCUUUCAUUUUAUUAAAUUAAUUAAUUAGCUAAUUUAAUUAUCAUUAAUAAUUUCCUAAAUUACCCUUAAAAAAAAACUUGGGCGUUACACAAAAACUCCCCAUUUUCUUCUUCAAAACCUUCUCUGUAGCUUCUCAAAAAUCUGCUCUCUCCGUCUAAUCCCCUCUCUAAACCCAGCUCUUUCCUCCUGCAACUCUCUCUCUUUCUCUCUUAUUUUUCUCCAGAAAUCCAGAAGAAAAAAAAUGUUCUUCUCUAGAUUUCCCCAAAAAACCCCUCUGUCUUUCUCCGUCUUUCUCUCUUUCUCUAUUUCUUUUUCCAUUUCUUUCUUUUCCUUCCAAAAAAGUUCCUUAAAAGAUGAAAACUGAAAAACCCUUUCUUGAAAAAUCUUGUCGUGAUUCCAAACUGAAGCCCCUCUUCUCUCCAAUGCUAUCCACGUGAUCUCUUCACCCUUAGCUGACUAAUCUCCAGAAUCCUCCAAAUAUAACUAUCACGUCACCUCUUUCAAAAUGCACACUUCUCUGACUCUCAUCUCUUCUCUGCCCAUCUCCACAUGAUUUCCAUGUCAUACUCCGGAUUGUAUUCUAUGAUUAUACAAGAAUUGAAUGCUGAAUCACAUGAGAAAAUAUGUCACAAAUCUCUAUAGAAAUGGUAAUAACCUGAAUCCAUUUGCGCGUUUGAUGAAGAUGGUAUGGAUCUUCUACGAGCAAUGGAGGACACCAUCUCUUACACUGUAUUCUCUCAAGCAAUGGGAGUAGGAGAGAGAGCGGUUGUUUUCUACUAUUCAAAGAUGUGAUGAUUGUGAAAAGACACAAGCCUCAGCCCUUUUAUACCCUCCUGCCUUAGGGACCAUACCCAUUGAUUAUUGGGCCUCACGGGCCUUAGGCCCAUCAUCUAAAGCCCGUGAUGACAUUAGGCUCUACACAUUAGGUGGCCCAUACUCAAGAUUAAAAUCAGAAAUUAUAUGUUAACAGAUAGCUUAAUCCUGAACAAUGUUUAAUAUAAUGUCGGUCCACAUUUAUUCUAUCAAUCUCUCACUUGGACCACAUAUAUAUUACAAACAAUGUUUAUGAUAAUACUUUAUUGAGCUCAUCUUUGCUAUCUUAUCAAAAUAUCCUUAAACAAUUCGGUCUACUAAUUAUGCUAACAUAGGAUUAAAGCGGUCUUCGUUAAUCAUAAUUAUAACUUGACCUAUAAUCAAUCACAACAUUAACAAAAUUAGCAACAUGUAUCAAGUAUGGAUGUGUAGCAUGGAAAUUAUAUAAAAUAUGAUCUUUAAUAUGUCUAUUUCCAAUUGGUCCUACUUUAUGACUAAAAGAUAGUCAAAUACCACUUUCAACACUUGAUGUUAAACUGCUUCUAAAAGUCAUCAUUUCAAUUCAGAGAAUUCAAAUACAAUAGUCUUUAAAAUCGAGAUUUGUACAGAUAACACAACAUAAUAUCACAUCAAGAAAAUAAACACAAAAUCUGAAUACAAACUCCCACUAUACUGGCACAUCAUCAAUGUGUACAACACCCAUAUGUGUGACGUGCUCAUGAUAUACUUUGGGUGGCAAACCCUUAGUGAGCGGAUCCGAAAUCAUGGAGUUUAUGCUUAUGUGUUCAAUCGAUACUUGAAGACUCUGAACUCUUUCUUUCACAACCAAGAACUUGAUGUCAAUGCGUUUGGACUUUGACGAACUUUGGUUGUUCUUAGAAUAUAAUUCUGCGGCCUUAUUAUCACAGUUGAUUCUCAAUGGUUUCUCAAUCCCAUCAACGAUUCGUAACUGAGUGACAAAAUUCCACAACCAUAUCCCAUGGUUUGAUGCUUCGUAGCAGGUUAUGAAUUCUGCCUCCAUGGUGGAAGAAGCAAUAAGUGUUUGUUUAACACUUUUCCAUGAAACUGCUCCUCCAGCUAACAUGAAGAUGUAGCUUGAAGUGGAUCUCCUACUGUCAAGACAUCCUGCGAAAUCGGAGUCCGAAUAUCCCACGAUCUCUAAGUGACUUGAUCUAUGGUAUGUGAGCAUGUAAUCUUUAGUUCUUUGUAAAUGCCGCAUAACCCGUUUUGUUUUUUUCCAAUGAUCCAUACCUAGGUUACUUAAAUAUCUGCCUAACAUUCCAACAAUGUACGCAAUAUCCGGACGCGUACAAACUUGUGCAUACAUGAGACUUCCUACUGCCGAGGCAUAGGGAAAUCUCUCCAUAUAUUUUUUUCUCAAGUUCAUUUUUUGGACAUUGGUGCAAACUAAACUUAUCGCCUUUUGCUACAAGCUUGUCUCCUAGUGCACAAUUGCUCAUGCCAAAUCUACUCAACACCUUAUCGAUGUACCUUUUGUGAUAACCUAAGUAUACCUCUUGAACGAUCCCUAUGGAUCUGUAUACCCAACACAAAAGAUGCAUUACCAAGAUCCUUCAUGUCAAAUUUACUAGACAAAAAUCGCUUGGUUUCAUGCAAAAGUCCCACAUCACUACUUGCAAGUAGAAUAUCAUCAACAUAUAACACCAAGAUAAUGAAUUUGCUCCCACUGAACUUAAGGUAUAUGCAUUGAUCAACAGUGUUCUCUUUAAAACCAAAUGAAGUAAUCACCUAAUCAAACUUUCGGUACCAUUAUCGAGAUGCUUGCUUUAAACCAUAUAUGAACCUUUUUAAUCUGCAUACAAGUUGCUUUGAAUCAUUAGACUCAAAGUUCUCCGGUUGCACCAUGUAUAUUGUCUCAUCAAUGUUGCCAUUAAGAAACGUAGUUUUAACAUCCAUUUGAUGUAGCUCUAAAUCAUAAUGAGCUACAAGUGUCAUGAUGAUUCUAAAGGAGUCUUUUAAUGAAAUUGGUGAAAAAGUCUCCUUAUAAUCAAUGCCUUCAUUUUGAGUGAAACCUUUUGCAACUAGGCGUGCCUUAUACCUAACAAUGUUGCCUUUUGAAUACCACUUGGUUUUGAAAAUCCAUUUACAACUAAUUGGUUUUACACUUUUAAGCAACUCUACUAGGUCCCAAACACUAUUGUCUUUCAUUGAUUUCAUCUCAUCCUUCAUGGCUUCUAUCCACUUUUCAGAAUCAGAACUUUGUUUGACUUGACUUACUAAAAUUGGAUCGUCUUCCAGACCCAUGUCAAACUCAUGUUCUUGGAGAUAUACAACAUAAUCAUCUGAAAUUGUACUUCUCCUUUCUCUAGUGGAUCUCUUUAGUGGCACUUGUACUUGAGGUUCUUGAGGUUGUUGAGUUACCUCUUGAUGAACUUGAAUCGGUUCCAUAACUUGAGCAGGAGGAAUCUCAGGUGUGUCUUGAAUCCCUGUUAUCGACUGUACAUUCUGAAUAGUGUCAUCAAACAUAAUAUGACCAUGUCUAGUCGUAAUAAUAGGAAUAUUAACAGAUUCCUCUUCAAAGACCACUUUUCUUAAUGGCUCUCUCCCACUUAACUCAACAUCCUCAAUGAACUUAGUAUUGCCCGUUUAAAAAAAAAAUCUAGUUGAGGGAUCAUAAAAUUUGAAACCUCUCGACCUUUCAGAAUACCCUACAAAGUAGCAACUCACUGUUCUGGAGUCCAAUUUCUUUUCAUUUGGCUUGUAAGGCCUAGCUUCAGCUAGACAACCCCAGACAUGCAAGUACCUAAUACUAGGUUUCUUGCUAGUCCAUAACUCAUAUGGGGUUUGGGCUACUGCUUUGCUUGAUACUCUAUUCAAAAUAUAAACUACAGUUUUUAUGGCUUCGCCCCAAAGUGAUUCUGGUAAGGUGGAAUGAUUGAUCAUACAUCUUACCAUAUCCUUAAGAGUACGGUUUCACCUCUCUGCUACACCAUUUUGGCUCGGAGUCCCUAGGAUGGUGUACUGAAGAACGAUACCACACUCCAUCAAAUAUUUGGUGAAUGACCCUGGACGUUGUUCUCCGGAUCUGUCAUAUCUACCAUAAUAUUCAUCUCCACGGUUAGAUCUGACGACUUUUAUUUUCUUGCUUAGUUGGUUCUCAAAUUCAGCUUUGAAAUUCUUGGAUACAUCCAAUGAUUGAGACUUUUCAUGAAUCAAAUAAAGAUAGCCAUAACACGAGUAAUCGUCAAUGAAAGUGAUAAAAUAUUGUUGUCCAUUCUAAGAAGGGGUAGGAAAUGGACCACAAAUGUCUGUAUGUAUCAAUUCCAAGACGUCACUGCACUUAUUAGCAUUCUUUUUCUUCAUAUUUGUUUGUUUUCCUUUAACGCACUCUAUAUAGACUUGAAAGUCUGAGAAAUCAAGUGGAUCGAGAAUUCCUUUUGACACAAGUCUUUGUCUUCGUUGAUUUGAAAUAUGACCCAAACGCUUGUGCCAUAACAUUGAUGAAUUCUCAUUCAUUAAUUUUCGCUUAAUGCCAUAAUUACUUGAAUGCAAGGUUUCAUUUCCAUUAGUGGCCUUUAUGUUCAAUUUAUAUAGUUUGUCUGUUAGACUACCUGUACCAAUAAUAUUUGAAUUUAGAUAGAGACUAACCAUUUCAUUUCCAAAUGAACAACAAUAUCCAAAUUUGUCCAAACAUGAAACAUAAAUUAAAUUCCAUCUAAACGACGAUACUACAAAAGUCUCUUCCAAAUCCAAUGUACAUCUAGAGUCUAACUGUAAUCUGAAAAGACCAAUAGCCUUGAUUGCAGCCUUGUUGCCAUUUCUCACAUAGAUGUAUCUUUCACCAUCAGUUGGCAUUCGGUUCCUUAGGCAACCCUACAUAGUGACACUUAUGUGAGUAGUUGUACCCGUAUCUAUCCACCAAGUGUCUGUAGGCACUACAGCUAAAUUAAUUUCUAAACAAACAAAGUUGAGAAGUGUACCUUUUUUUUCACGCUAAGCAACGUAUUUGGUACAUGUCUUCUUCAUAUGACUAGCCUUCUUGCAAAAGAAACAAGUGAUCUCCUUAUCUUGUUUCUUCUACUCCUUUUGCAUUGAUGUCCCAGAAAUCGCAGUUUGUUUUCCUUUAUUGUCCUUCUUUCUUUUCUUGCUGGUACCAAAUCCUUGAGAUGUGGAAGCCAAGUGAGCACUUUCUAUCUUUUCUUGCUUCAAUCUCUCCUCAUCUUUCACACAUUGAGCAAUAAGCUCAUUCAAAGUCCAUUUUUCCUUUUGUGUAUUGUAACUGAUUUUGAAUGGGCUGAAUUGUGUAGGCAGAGAGAUCAAGACCAAGUGUACGAAUAUGUCUUCCAACAACUCUAACUUUUGUGCCUUGAGUCUUGUCACAAGAUUAGACAUUUCCAUAAUGCACUCCCUAAUAUUCUCUUUCCCUUUAUACCGUAUAGAGACAAGCUUAUUAAGAAUAGUGCUUGUCUCAACCUUUUCGUUUGCAGCGAAUCGGUUUAUUAUCUGGUCCAAGAAUGCCUUGGCUUGGGUUUCCUCAGGUAUUGCACCCCUUAUUGCUUCUGGAAUUGAGUGUUUCAUAAUCAGUAGACUCAUGCGAUUGGAUCGCUCCCAUUUUUCCAUAGUAGACCUUUGCCCAGCAGUGCUGGCACUAGUAAGAUCUGAAGGAUGAUCCUCCCUUAAUGCAAAGUCUAAAUCCAUGCACCCGAGCACAAUUAUAACUGUAGACCCUCAAUUUUGUCCCUUGAGCACAUAUCUUUAAAUUCACUUCCAGUGCUCUACGGUAGUUCCUUGGUGACCCAUUACUACUCGUACGACUUACCUUUUUCUGAGUCACCUCGGAGACUUUGGUUGAGGGAUUAUUUGAUCCCUUAUUGUGACCCCUGGCAGCCCUAACUUAGACUUAGGCUUUUCUUGUCUUUUUUUAGGAUAGCUUUUAGAUACACUUGGCCUUUAGGCACCGCUCUAGGCCCACUUAGGCACACUUGGCCCAUUUGGACAUUCUUAGCGUGACUUAUAUGACUUGCGUGUUUACAUGGCUCGUAGGGCCCAUUUUUUUGUUAAUUUGUUUAUUUUUAUUUUAUUUUCCUCUUUAUAUUAUUUUCCUUAACUUAUUUAUUUAUUUAUUAUUUUUACCAUUUUCUAAUUUAUUUACUUAUUCAUCUAUUAAUGCAAUUAUUUAACUUCUAAAAUUUCAUGUUUUUGCAAGGAAACUUACCAUUGGAGUUUAAGGAAGGUGGGACUCUCUUUGGAAGGUUUUGGAGGGGAAUUUGAAAUUGGGAAGAUUGCUUUUGAUUGGAAGAUUUAAAAAAAGAAGAGAAGAAGAAAGGAAAUAGGAGAUUUUUCCUUUUUGGGAAACAAAUUUAGGUCUUGAGGGGUGAGAUAUAUAGGUGAGGAAAAGGAAAAGGAGGGGCUUUUUGAUCGUGGGAAGAGAUUUUUCUUGGAGAAAAAGCACGCAUUGGAGGACGGGGGGGAGAGAGAUUCUUUGAUUAAGGGAGGAAAAGCACAGAAAAGCGAGAAAGGAGCAAUUGCAACCGAGUUUGUCCAGGUAUGCUUCUUGUUACUCUUGGAAUUCUUACUCAUAUUCGAUUUCUCUGUGUGUUCGUUCCUAAAUAUUUAAUAUACUGUUGAUUGGUGUGGACGGAAAGGGCCACAAAUUGUUUUGUUGAUAUUGGUUGCUUACUUAUUUUGUCCCGAAUCUGUUUAUGAUCUUCCCACUAGCCUGAACCCAUUGAAAGACCAUGAGAUGUGGUUUUAUCUAAUUUCCUCCCGCAUGUUCCUUCUCUCUUUGUUUUCUUUGUUUUCCACCACACUUGUUUUUUUUUUUUGGUUUUCCUUCUACUCGUCAUGUAGCCGUCAACUCUUCAUAUGGGGGUGACUCCAAGUGUUUGGGCAUACAGUCGUGAGAUUCAGCGAAGAGAUCGAACGCUUCAAAAUUCUGUUUGGACAUGCCAUUCUGUCGGUUCAUAUAAAAGAAAGCCAAUGACAGCUGCCACAUUUUCUGCCAAUGGUUAUGUUCUAUUGCUGUGGAAACUGUUAUCGCAAUAUGGGAUCCAGAGAAGAUUGUCCUAGUGGCUUGUCGGCUGCUUAUGCACUUGUUAAGCUUGGUUACGAUAAUGUAAAUUUGCGGGUUGAUAUGGGGGUUAGAGACGAGGCUUCUCGGAAUUCGAUCGUUUCAAAGUAUGUACACUGAGGGGAGGUUGAGGAGCGUGGAAAUUGUUUGAAGAAAUGCCAAUGAGAAGGAAUGUUGGUCUUCCAGUCUGCAAUGAUAAACAUGUAUGGGAAAGAAAGGAUUUUUGUGGAGAUGUUAAGUUUGUUUUCCGGAUGCUUGUUUCGGCUUAUGAGGUCCAGCUCAAUGCGGCAACAAUGAUAUGUAUUAAGUGCGGGAAUGAAGAGAAUAGCAGAUCUGUUGUUUGUGGAUAACCUGGUUGGAACAAAAUACAGCUUCGUGGAAGAUACAAAGCUAUUGGUGAAGACUGAUUUGACUAUAUUGUUGAAGGAGAUUUUCAACAAGGAAUGAGAGCCUCCAGCAGAGUCCUCUGUACACAGAAGCAGAGUCUUACAGAGGAAAAUUUGUUGUCACUCUUGGAUUGGCAGCUCUGGAAGCCACAGAAGCAGGAAACUUGAAGCUUAAACUUGGAGGAGUUGCAUCGGGAGAUAGUUGGAUCUCCCCAAAAGAUUGUGUUCUCGCGAGAUCCCCUUCUCAAAAAUGUCCCUUGAAGUUGUCUAUUGUGUGAUCCUUAUUGAUGAUGGGGAGUACAUCUUGUCGUUUGCUAUUGGUGAGAGAUACAUUGCAGUUUGGAGAAUUGAUGGUAGUAGUCAGCCAGUUGUGUUCUUGGCUAUUUUUUGAAUGGAGCACCCUGCUGACUUCCUAGAUAAGAGGUGUUGAUGGGGGCAACAGCUCUGAAGGGAGGGGCAGAGGUGUCUAGUAUGGGAUCACCAUUUAAGGAGAAAUUCGACCCUCAAAAAGCUAUGGCUCUCGGAUUGAAAGCUGGCCAAAAUACCGUGAAUUACAGUUUAUGAAAUCACUGUUCGGUUGAUCAAUUACACAAAGAGAGGAAAGGAAUUAUGGAACUUAUUCCACUCGCAGCCCAUGCGUGACCAAAAGGGUGAACUUCAAAUACUUCAUUGGUGUCCAAUUAGAUGGAAAUGACCGUGAGGAACCCCUCCGAAACCGCCUAUCAGAGCAAACCGAGCAAUAAAGUGCUAAGCUGGUCAAAGCUACUGCAGAAAACGUCGAUGAAGCUGUUCGGGAACAUCUUGAUGCUAACUCGGUAAGAGACCAGAAAAUUUGUGGACAAUCCACUCUCAACCCGCCUUCCCAAAGUCUCACAAAGAAGGAAUCAGAUUCUUCUAAAUCAUAUUCGAAUGGUGGAUGAGGCCCAGAAAAAUUAUCCUAUUCCGAGCCUUUGAAGGAGACUUUGGAUCCCCUUCAUGCGGUAUAUGAAAGCUUGAAAUUAGAUUAUCUUCGCAAAAAGGACUUGGUACUUCUGGUGGUUCUAUUAUGUAAUGUUGCUAAUUUUCUAGGAGAGAGAAGUUAUUUGGACCAUUAUGUUCAUGAUUUUCCUGGUAUUUCUAAGAAACUUGAGAUGUGUAAAGACUGUCUUUCCCAGACAACUCCUCCUCGUCUAUUCAGAUGGCUUGAACGCUGCUUGCAGUGAGGAUGUAAUUCUGCUAAUAUAAAUGACCUUUCACCUCUGAUUCAUAAAGAUGGCCAUUCAGUUAUUUGGGCCCGAGAGAUAGUUUCCCUCCAAAGUCUGUUAUCUGGUGCGAAACCAUUGGGGAGAAAACCUUCAUCUGGUGUUUAUGGUAACCUUGCUACAGGAGCAUCUUCCAGUCCUGAGGAGUUAACAGCCGUGGCAAUGGUUGGGGAAGAAUCUGGACUUCAACAGCUGGAUUUACUGCCUGCUGAUGUAUCCCUUCCUCUUCGGCAUGCAUUGGAUAAGUGUCGGGAAUCUCCUCCCACUGAUUGACCAGCAGCCGCAUAUGUUCUCGGACAGAGGAUUUGGCUUUGUCAUGUUUGGUUCAUUCACAUAAAUACAAGGAACUCGAGAUCCAAACCAACGCGAAUUUAAUUUCUAUGUCUAUCCUUUAUAAGCUACAUUUGCAUCCAAUCAUUAUUCCUUCUACAUCUUCUGAUACAAUUAGAUUGGACAAUACCAAGUUUAAGGAUACAGAUUCUGUUGAUGGAUCCAUGGCACAUGAGAUGGAAGCAGGGAUCUUCGCCAAGGUUCAUGCUGAGAGAAUAAUUUCAUCACUAAGACUCGGAAUCCCAUCUAGACCUCUCGUCAAAAGUUCUCCUCCUGUUUGAUUUCGCUUACCAUUAUAGUCAUCUGCAGUAUCGGAUUUCAUUCGAAUUCUUCGGACAAGUCCUUGCAUUCAGCCCAUGGAGAUGACAACCAGAAUUCCAAAGCGGCAGCAAUUAUGACCAGGAGGAUGCUUUAGUCACACCGUCUGCACAAUUAAAGAAAGAUCCAAUCCAGUUUUCAUACAAUUCAAAGUCUGAUGCUCACAGGAAUACAUCUUCUUUAUCUUCUACAAAAUUUGGACUCAGCAGCUUUGAUGAAGCCACACUUUCUAUUGAUGAUUCUGUAGACCAGAUUGCUGAGGUUCUCAACUCUUCUAGGACUUGGUGCGAUGACAUACAUAGGAGUAUUGGAUACGAUAAAUUUUGGAGUCAAAAUCUUCGAGGCCAAAGCCACUACGUUAGACGACGCUCAUCCAACCGCUAUGAAGACUUGAAAGCUUAUUGAAGGAGUUGCUUGAUCAGAAAAGUAUUAUGAAGCAGGUAUUACAUUUCAGAAUGGAGGGUUUAGGAAUCAUCUUGCAUAAGAUUCAGAAUACUGUCACAAUUAUUAAUGAGAAGGAAGUUGCUGUCAUCCAGUCGUAAGAUGAAAUUCCUUGUCUCUCCUAUCACUCAUGCUACAGUGCAAUCUAAGGUUGCAUUUGACCUUUCUGAAUCUGUUAAAAUUUUGAAGCAUUUAGCCAAGUCAGAUUCUGUAGUAAUAUAUAUUAUUGAAGAACCUAGGGAGAAUGACAUUGCCAAACGGAUCAGUGAAUGAAUGCCUUAAGGAGAAUAUUGAUACAAAAGUCGUUGAGGGUGACAUGUUUAUUGGGAAAUUAUUCCUGGAAUGAGAUGGCUCUCUCAAUCCAGAUUAAAGAGUAGAUGGACGUAGUAGUCUCAGUACCUCCAAUGGUGAUUCGGGCUCUUCAUUAAGUGAUUCAGAUCCAGGCACUUCUUCAGAUGGUGAAUCAGGAGGUGUUUUCCUCAAUUUUGGCAAUGGCCCUGCUGAAGAUAGUUAAUAUGGUCUUAUAACGAGGACUCCCUGCUCCAUAUAAGAGGAAGGUCUCGAUUUGAAGUAGAAGGAUGCAUGGUUCAAUCAGUGACUAAGAGAUACUUAGUUUUCGAAACGGCUAGGUCCAGACUUUGCAGCUGUCGAUAGAGAUAUUCUGGCCAGAAUUGCAUAUUCUAAAUUAUUUGAUUGGGUUGUGGGCAAGACAAUUUGUUCUCCUUAUGACAGAUAGAUUGCAUUCGAAAAUGGAUGAUCUUUUAUAGACUGUGAAUUCUGCCAUUGACCUCCAUAACAAGAUGAUUAAAAAUGUGUACCUGAUAUUAUAAUAGAAAUGAACUGGUCAGUCCCAGAGAUUGAAGGUAACUUAGCUGAGCAAAUUGAAGAUGCUGGAAACUGCAUUCUAGGGGAAGCGAGUAACUGUAAGAAGCUCAGGAUUCUAAAUUUAUCCUUUAACUCACUUACUGAUCUAUAAUCAGAUGGUCUCAUCGAGCUGCAUCAAGGCCAUUAGGAAAUGCAUUUCAAAUGUUGCUUUAAUGGCUAAGGUUUCUUCCUGCACAACUUCAAUUGGCUUUAUUGAAGCCGAGUUGAACGGACAGUAUCGUCCAGUUGAUGAGCCAGUUGCAAAGUCUCGGGCUGCCAUCCAAACUUCUGGCGAGGCUGUUUAUGCGGAUGGCAUCCCCUCUCCGACAAAUUGCCUACAUGGGGCUUUCAUUUAUGAGACAAAGCCUUUGGCUUGAGUAGACGAUACCAAACUUAACCCCCAAAUCAGUGGCAGCUGGAGUCAGUACACUUAUCUCUUUUAGAGAUAUCCCAAAAUCCCCUGCAGCUUUAAACCAAUAAAUGCAGAAUUGUCAAACCAGAAUAUUAAUAACCAAGCCAAUUCUGGAAAGCAUUGGCGUCCUCUUCAACACUAAGGCAGGCUAUAAAAUUUUGAAAAGCUUCUCGAAGUUGAUAUAGUAGAGCAAUGAAAGACGGAGGAGUUAAUGGCUCUACUUGACCCAAAGCUCCAGAUGACACAGAGGAGCCUAAACCAACCCAAUUGGAAGUUUUCUUCUCAAGCUGGCAAUCAUCCUUCAUACAGCUCGUCUAAAGAGGAAGCUGCUUCCAGGUUUCAGACCGAAUCUAUAUCCAGUUUAGGGAGGAUGUCGACAUCAAUUAUUAAACGAGAUAUGCAAUGAAAGAGGUAACAGAGGGGAUGGUGAUCUUUGUCAUGAUAAGGGUUUUGAAGGUCACGAUUCAUGCUCCAAAUGCUCAAAAAGUUAAAUUCGCAGAAUCAGGGAGAACAAAAAAUGUCUGAGCAAAUCUAAAUAGCAAAUAAGAAACCACAAGAGAAGCAAGAGGAUGGUGGAGCUUGGUAUCUUCUUGACAGCCACUCUUGAAAGUCUAAAAAUGCAGGAUACAUCAGAAAGUCUCUAACUUACUGCUCAUUUACCUUCAUCCAUGCGAAUAAGUUAUUGAAACCUAUUGGCUGAAGGUUAAUUUCUGAUCAUAGGCAAAUUGAUAUGCUUGAAGAAUGAAAAGUUAUUCGGGAAAUCGAACAUCAGAAUAUCAAUCAGGAUGCGAGUAUUCAGUUGAAGAAAUUUAACUACGAGCAAGUUGACAAUAGAAACAGAAUCUAGAUGUUAAUAUAAGAGAUUCUUUCUUCUAUACAUUUCCACACCAGAUGCGAACCCGGAAUUCAUCAAAGUUAUUACAUGUCGGAGUUAGGCUACCUGUCAGAAAUAUCCGUACCCAAUGAAACUUUGCAUGGGAUCCCAGAAUUUAAAUUCAGAAAUAUGGGGAAAGAAGAUAUUAAAAAAUGAAACAGUGGCUGGUACAAGAAUGUCUCAUUAGGAAUUGUUUAAAGUUGUAUUCCUGAAAUGCAGGCAUCCUUCUUCUGACCACAGAAGACCAAAAAGCUUCAGCUUCUACUCUCUCCUAUAUUAAAAUCAGUUGGCAAAAUGGUGGUUAUUUUGGUAGCGUCAACCAUGCUAAAAAUGCUUCAAUACUCCUCCCCCUUUAUUCCAACCCUGAACUAAGGAAAAUGAUGCAAAACCCAGAAUUUCAUUGCUUGCUAACUUCACCAGUGAAGACAAGAGCAUUAACAACAAUGAGCAACGAGGAGCUUAUAUGUUCAAGAAAAUGGCCCUGAGAAGUCAGAUAUGGAGAUUCCAGAAAUAAGGAGAAUUCAUAAGGAUGCAGCAAGCUGAAAAUAUUGAAAAGGCAGAAAAAGGCAACAGCAAGGGUAUGUAUUCUGGAGGAGCUGAUGAAUCAAGCCUUGAUGAUGAGAAAAUAGCACAGAAUGCAGGAAAUAUAGCAAUACAGAAAAGUAAGAAUUUUGAGCUUUAUGUUCAGUGUUUGACCAGCGUUGGGGAGAAUCCAUCUGAGCUUAUGAACCAAGUUAUCUUAUAAAUGGAAAUGCUUCUGAUCACUGAAUACUUUGGCAACGAAUUGGGUCUUUCUAUCCCGAACUCCACUCCAUCAGGCAACCUAAGUAACUCAGUCUCAAAAGCAGCCUAGACACUAAUCCAGCUUGGCCGCCUUGCCUCACAUCGUACUCCUCCUAUUGUUUCUUUUUUUUUUUUUUUUUAUGAUCUUAUACGUCUUAAAACCGGAUUUCAAAACCUUUUUCUAUCAAAAAUGAAUUUGGUUUUCUCUAAGGUUCCUUAGAAGCAUUUAGGUACAAAAUCCAGAUUUUAACAUGCAAUUUGCUGCCACUUUAUUUCGGAUAUGCACUUUCACUGUUUUCUUUGAUUUUUAACUAUUUUCUUGAUUUUUCUCGAUUUUUCUCGAUUUUCUCAAGCAUGAAUACACUUCAUGAUUCCAAACAAUGGAAUUCAUUGAAUCAACUCAUGCAAAAUUAAUUAGGGCUUUGGUGGGGGCCCGACAUUCAUGAUACCUUUUUCAAUAUUGUUUGCUUGAUAUGUUGAUUUUUUAUUCUUCUUGAUGAUAUACAUGAAUUCGUUUCGUAUUUAUCGUUGAGAUGCUUUUGAUUCCCAUAGAGGAGUACUAGCUUGCUAUCCAGAUACGCUCUCUUCUCAUCUAUUUUUUUUAGAACUCUAUGGACUUGUAUGCCAUUGAUGACUAUAUCCAUACAUGAUGUGAUUUUUGGAUGUCUUGAUAUAUGUCUGAUUUGCUUGAAUAAAACAAAUGUUGUGUGCUACAUUUCUACACUAACUUUUAUGUUUUAUGAUAGCGCUUGAAGAGUGGUUCAGGUACGCACCUUAACUUUCUUUUAUGGCAAUUUGAUCUUGUUUAGCAUGCAAAUCUUUUGAAAUCACCUAGCCUACUUAGGUAUCCAUAAUUAACCGAUUAAUUGUCAUAUUCCCCUUAACUUAGUGAGUAGAGACCUUUAUAGGGCUUAGAGGGGUGCUACCUUUCAAAGGUACCUUCCCAAUAGGUAACCUGAUCCCCGGACUUAGACUCGGGUUUUUCAAAGACACGCUUUUCCAAAAAUUAUGGAGUCAUUUUUUAGGGUUUUAUUUCUUGUUUUAUUUUCCCUUCAAAAAUAAAAUAAAAUAAGUGGCGGCUCCAACUUUUUUUCAAAAAUUAAUUUUUCACAAAUAAAAAGCGAGUCUCGCCAAUCGAGUGGGGACGCACGUGAAAAAUGCGGGUCCACAAUAACGUGCUCUUUCCAUUUCUUGAAAUUUGUGCCGUUAAGCAUAGGAAUGUUAUUAACAUUUGCAGAUAUAGAAGAUGCUGAAUUCAUAAUAAUAAAGCUCACAAUCAGUCACAUAAGCAUCAUACAUACAUGAAUAAAUAAACAUCACAUAAGAUACCUAGCACAAACAUUAAUAUUCAGUCUUUGGACAAAAAUAUUAACUUGUAAUUGACAUCCUUAUACAAAAUUAAUUCAUAAAUAUUGACAAUAAAAAACCGAAAACAAUAUGUCUGUCUUUGGACUAACAUAUCGAAUGCAAAAUAAACAUUAUAUGUCACAUAUUUAUGACUACUUUAUUUAUCAUUAUAUUAAAAUAAUCUUCCUUUGGGCCGAUUAUUUUAAAUAAUAAUAAUAACAUGUUUAGAUAUUGUAAAAUAAAUAAAUUAUAUAAUAUAAGUUACUUUGGCAACUGACAUACAUAAUUCAUUUAUUUUAAAAUACAAAACACAAAUAUAGCAAGAAAUAAUUUAAUUAAAAUUAUUCAUCUAUUUAUUUAUGCAUAAACUUAUGUAUACAUCCAUACCAAUUGAAGCAUAAAAGCAUGUAUAUAUAUAUAUCAAUUAAAGCAUAAAUACAAGUAUAUAUAUAUAUAUACCAAUUAAUGCAUAAAAUAGAGACUUGGUGUAGUGGUUCAGCCGUGGGCUUGAAUUUAAAGGGAAACAACCCAGGUCAUGGGUUUAAGCUCCCUUGGUGGCCUUUCCUCCAUUUUUAUAUAUAUACAUGUAUAUAUACCAAUUAAUGCAUAAAAUAGAGACUUGGUGUAGUGGUUCAGCCGUGGGCUUGAAUUUAAAGGGGAACAACCCAGGUCAUGGGUUCAAGCUCCCUUGGUGGCCUUUCCUUCAUUUUCCACCUUUUUUUUUUUUUAAAAAAAAAAAACAGCACGACACCUAAAGUGCGCCCUAAACGACGCUGGAGACGGCACCAGAGACGACACUGAGAGUGGCGCCUCGGAGCGUGCCCUAAUGGUGUUGCAAAUGGGCGCUUGGAAGCCUGCCUCAACGGUGUUGUAGAUGGCGCCUCAACAGCGCCUGGACUGAAUCACAUGAGAAAAUAUGUCACAAAUCUCUAUAGAAAUGGUACUAACCUGAAUCCAUUUGUGUGUUUGAUGAAGACGGUAUGGAUCUUCUAAAAGCAAUUGAGGACACCACAUCUUACACUAUAUUCUCUCAGGCAAUGGGAGCGGGAGAGAGAACGGUUGUUUUCUACUGUUCAAAGAUGUGAUGAUUGUGAAAAGACACAAGCCUUGGUCCUUUUAUACCCUCCUGCCUUAGGGACCAUACCCAUUGAUUAUUGGGCCUCACGGGCCUUAGGUCCAUCAUCUAAAACCCGUGAUGGUAUUAGGCUCUACACAUUAGGUGACCCAUACUCAAGAUUAAAAUCAGAUAUUAUAUGUUAACAGAUAGCUUAAUCCUGGACAAUGUUUAAUAUAAUGUCGGUCCACAUUUAUUCUAUCAUUUCAUACUUCUUAUCUUCUAGAAUUUUCCAUUCCCUUAGCCACUCCUUUUUUCCUAGACAAAUUCAUGAGGAAAUCCUCCUCUCUAAUGUGAUGACCCACUUUGUUUAAAACAUUUUUAAUUCAUCCCCCAUGCUCAUCUAGGGUCUUCCUGUGAUAAUUUUCACAUACUCUUUUCAUGACCAUUAAAAAAGUGAUCAAAUGUAAAAAAAAAAAAAAAAAAAAAAAACUAAGACAAAGCAGUUAGUGCACCUAUAAUACGAAAUUAAAUAUAUAUAUCAACCAAAAAUUAAAGUUCAAAUUCAUGAAACUAAAAUCAAAUUAUUAAUCAUGUGCAAUCAAACAUAAAAAAAAUGUCAAUCUCAUGCAAUCGAGAAAUUAAAAAAGAAAAAACAUUCUAAUACUCAUCUAACCCUAAAACCAUGCAAUGUGAAAACAAAUCUAAACUCAAAUGUACAAAAAAAAAAAAAAACCAAUCAAAAUCAAGCCAAAUAAAGCCCUAAGUUGAAAAGACUAGAGGUCAGUAAUCAUCACACUAAGGAUCUUCAAAAAGUCCCUGUAUCUCUAAAGAAAAUCCAAAGGUAGUGAUCGAAAGAAUUGCAAUGGACCACCGAUGAUGACUCAAAAAAAUAGCUUAUAUAAGGACCCUAAGGCUACGUUUGGUUCCCGGAAAAUGCGAGAGAAAGAAAAUUAGAAGGAAAAAUGGAAGGAAAAAAAAAGCUGAGGAAAUGAAUAUAAAUUUAUUCACUUGUUUGGUUAUCCAUAAAAAAUUCAAGGGAAAAAGAAAAGGAAUUCAUUUUCUUUUGUUUGGUUAACCACAAAAAAAAGUAAAGGAAAAAUGGAAGGAAAAUAAAAUCAACAAUUUGUUUUAGAUGGUUAUCAAUUUGUUGAAUAAUAAAAAAAUUUAGGAAAACAAAAAUUGAACUCUUGGAGUAGAUUGGUAGAAAGAUAUCAAUCUCAUUCAACCCUCCCUCGAAUUGUAUUCAGUGAUACACACUACUAUUUGUAGUUAGACUAUUUGAAUUAAUAAAAUUGAGAAAAAAAAUAUUAACAAAUUUUCAUGCCUAGCGUGUUAAAAACCAAUAUUUUCAUCUUUAUCUAUGAAUGUUUUAAUGAUUUUUUUUGUGUAUACAUGCAAAUUGUAUAUUGGUAUGUAGAUAAUUUUUUUUUAAUUUUUAAAAAUAGAAAAUAUUUAUUACUUCGAUAUAAAAUAUUUAAUUAUUUUUACUAAUAAAAAUAAAAAUUAAUUCAAAUAAUGUAAUUAUUUUUGUUAUUUGAAUAAUUUAUUGUGAUUCAUUUCAAUUGUCUUACUAUCACCCGGUGUAUCACUUAAAAAAUGAAGAGAAAAAUUAUAAUAAAUAAUAUUUUGUUUCGGGGUGGUAGCUUUUGUCAACUUUUCACACGAUCCUGGGAUGCCCCAUAAAACUAGUGACAAUAUGAUCGAGAUUGCAUAUAGCUUCAAGCAAGCAACUAAGAUUAGGAAGCCAACUUCAUUUAAACCUUGAAGGUUUAGAACAACUCCUAUCAGAGUUGUACUACAUAUAUCAGUAUCAAGAACUCUUCUCUCUAGCUGGUAAUCCUGCACUAGAAAGGAUGUUAUAAUAAUCUGCUCAAUGUUUUGAAUGAACUAAGAUGAUAUGGAGGUUGCCAUUACAGUGCACGACCCUCUGAAUAAUCACUCAUUUAUCUGUAAUGAAACAUGCAGAAUUCAUACAUAUGUACUAUGAUCAAUGUAGAGAUACAUGAGCAAAAAAGACUAGAUAAAAAUGUAAAAACGGGUAUCAAAACUAAGGUAAAAGUAGUUGCAGAUUUGAUUAUCCUUAAGUUGGUUUACACAACUUCUAACAACAGCCAGCCACUAAAAUUAGCCAACUAUACAGAGUGCCACUCCACAACCCUAUGAUGCUAUCUAUACAAAACAUAUCACCUUAAGCACCUGAGGCAAUCAAACUAAACUCUAUGCUCUGUUUAGUAGCCACAAAAAUGUAGAUAAUAAGAGAAAUCAAUUAAAGAAGUUCAGAAUUUGAAAUUCAAUUUGUGAAUUAUCGAAAACUCAAGAAACAACAAGCUGGUCUAAACCAAAAAAAGCAUAAUUUCCUCAAUUUUUCAGCUAACCAAACAAAGGAAUAAUUGAAUAACAUGCUGAAAAGAUAGAUGAACUUGCUUUGCCUGCACAAAUAAUAGAAAAGUAAAUUAGGUAAAAAGAAAUGGAAAACCCAUACACUAUUUUAGUUCAAAUGAAUCUCUAUUUUAGUUCAAAUGCAACAAAUGGGAUCACCAUUGAGGUUCCUUUGAUACACUAUUUUAGUUCAAAUGCAUAUUGAAUUUGUGUAUCAAGUGGCACAAUCAUAACUUGUCAUCCUUCCUCCAACUAAUGAACAUAAAUCUAAAUGAAAAAGCAGUACUUGAAUACUGCUUGGUGUGGAAGACAUCACGUGGUGAACCAUUUCUUAAAGCUUGCAUGUCAAAGUUCAAAUGCAUUAAGAUGCUAGAUUUAUCGUAUUUGAACUUUGACACAUUGCCAAAUUCUAUCAGUAUCUAAAGCAUCUCAGACUUCUAGCUGGAAUGAGAGGAUAAAGAAACUUUCAAAUUCAAUAUGCAAGUUGUUUCAUCUGCAAAGGUUGUCGCUUUUCAAAUGUGAGGGAUUUGAGAAUCUGCCCAAGGAGUUUGGGAACCUCAUCAGUUUUGAGGAAUUUAUGCUUCACCACGAAACAGAGGGCUUUGAUAGGGAUAGGACACCUAGAAUCUCUUCAUAUUUUAAGGAUUUACGAAUGUGAAAAUCUAGAAUUUCUACUUCAAGGGACGCAAAGCCUCACUGCCCUUCGGUCAUUGGCUAUUGGCGGUUGUAGGAGUUUGGAGACUUUGGCACCUAGCAUGAAACAACUGCCCUCGUUAGAGCAUCUCAUGAAUUUCGAUUGCGAAAAGCUCAAUUCACUGGAUGGAAAUAGGGAAGACCAUGUUCUAGGGCUCGGGAAUCUACGAGUUUUGAUGCUUAGAAAAUUACCAAAGUUGGAGGCAUUGCCAAUGUGCAACCUCACAUCCCUUGACAGACUUGUGAUUAGAGAAUGCCCUCAAUUGACUGAAAGAUGCAAGAAAACAACAGGGGAGGAUUGGCAUAAAAUCUCUCAUGUCUCAGAGAUAUGUAUCGAUGGCGUCAAAACACCAGAAAAUUAAGCAAGGUAUAAAAAUCUCUCAUAAAAACCUUUCUAGAUCCUGGUAAGCUGAACCUGUUUUCUUUCUUAAUUAGUGUGUCACAUUGUGAGGAGAUGUUUCAAGCUACCCUUGCUAAUGUUGAUCACCAUCUGUUUAGGAGGGAGUGAUGGUAGUAUGCCAGUAGCCACAACACAAAUAAACCCGAAAACAACAACCAUCCCCUUUUCUCCUACUCAAACAAAUCACAAUCCCCACUUCCCAUUUGAAAACACAACCCCAAUUAUAGCAUAUCCCACCUUUAAGCCCCUCACAAACCAAAAGACAGGACAGGUUUAUCCCUAGAUACCAGAAAGGCUUGACAAUAGAAGACAAUUGAAAUUGACAGAAUAUAGCAUAUCUAAGCAUUUAUCAAAAGCUUUAGACAAUAAAAUAGCAGUGCAAAAACAGUUUUCACAAUCAAGAGAAUUACUUGUAUUUAUUUUAGUAAGAUAACAAUAAUACAGAUGAAUGACAACUUCUAGUCAAGUUUCUCAUUUAGUGUCAUGUGAUUAAUUUCACAUUUGAAGAUAUAUGGAAGGGUCCCAUCGCAGCCCACUACCAAAUUUAUUGACUAUUUUCAGUUCGUUUUAUUAUUUAAUCUAUUGGGUCUGUAACGCAACAUGCAUCAUAAUUUUGUUUUUAUGGUAACAUUUCUAAUCAAGAGAGUAGAAACUGAUAUUUCUAACAAUCCAAUGUUAAACCGUCCAAAAAUUGAUGCCACAAACAAUGAUACAAAACAAUAACCAAGCACUCAGAGGCAGCAACAACAUACAUAUAUGCAAUACACAACUGCAGACCCAUUUCCCCAACCAAAUUAUGAAAAAACCAUCGGCUACUAAACAAUAGUAGAACAUCAAGGGUAAAAAUUAGACCAAAUCCAGAAAAGCAACAAGCCAAGAAAGUUUAGAAAAAUUAUGGCGAAAUUUAAGAAACGGGAAAUGCAAAAGCAACCUAGAAACCCAAAUAGAGAACCCAAGAGAGAGAGAUUACCUUGGGUUCUGGGUUUUCACAAGAUGAGGUGGAUUGGAGUUCAAUUCAUACCUGAUCUGAAGACAUGGAUCUGAAUACAUUCACUGGAUUUGAAGAAUUCAUUUCAUCUAUGGGAACUUGAUUUGAAGAACGCACUUCAUCCAUGGGAACUCGGGUGCCUGAAAAUGGUAGGAUUUCGACACUGGAAGGUGGUCAGAGUGAUAGUGGUGGCCGUUGAAAGGGUCGACGACGGUGAGAAGCCAUAGCCACCGAUGAAGAGGAAAUUAGAGGUGAAACCUCGGUGAACAAGAGCCCGAUAAAAUUUUCUCCCUCUUUUCCCUUCUAUUUUUCUCUUAUUUUCCUCAUUAUUUUUUUAAGGAAAAUAUCACAAUAUUUUCUUUAAUAUUUUCCUUUAUAUCUUUUUUUCCAUCAUAUUUUCCAUGUCAUCCAAACUAAAAAAAAAACCAUUUUUCUCUGCAUUUUUUUUCCUUUCCUUAGCAUUUUUCGAGAACCAAACAUAGUCUAAGAUCACAAACAAGUAACAGAGGAUGAAUGAUGACUAACUUGAAUAUCAUGUGCCAAGAGGACAAAAUAGAGGAUUUACACAAAGAUAUAGUGUUUGAUGGAACUAAAAUGACCCAAUUGAUAAAUACAAGUGAUGGAGAAAGUUUGAAAUUGACAAUACUAGAUAGAUUGCAAUUUGAGGUGGAGCUUGUAGAUUUUAAAAAUGUUCAAAAUCAAGGUUUGGAUUGAGAACCCGAUGGAAUGGAUAGAGAUGAAGUUGUUGAUCAUAGUCAUGAGGAAAAUACAAAAUUUGAUAGCCCAUACAGUCUGGAUAAAGACAGGCCUAGAAGAACAAUUCGCCCACCUCAAAAUUAUGCACAAGAAAAUUUAAUUGCUUUUGCAUUGACUGUAGCUGAAGAAUUAGAUGAAGUUGAACCUGCAACAUAUCAAGAAGCACUGAAAGGAAAUGAGAGGCAACUAUGGCAUCACACCAUGGUAGAAGAUAUGGAAGUACUGAUUAAGAAUAAGACCUGAACUCUAGUUGAAAAACCAAGGAAUCAAAAAAUAGUAAGCUGUAAAUGGAUUUUCAAGAAGAAAUAAGGGAUUAUGGGGGUUGAAAAGGCAAGAUAUAAAGCUGGAUUGGUUGCUAGAGGCUUUACACAAAGAAAAUGGGUGGAUUAUAAUGAGAUCUUCUCGCCAGUGGUGAAACAUUCUUCAAUCAGGAUGAUCUUACCUUUGGUUGCUGAUAGAAUCAUGGAAUUGGAGCAGCUAUAUGUCAAAACGACAUUCCUUCAUGGUGAACUGGAAGAAACAGUUUACAUGCAACAACCUGAGGGGUUUGUGAAGGACAAAAACAAGGUAUGCUUAUUAAGAAAGUCUCUAUAUAGACUAUGCUGUGAGUUUGGUAAGUAGGUUCAUGGGAAAUCUGGGGAAGACCCAUUAGGAGGCUUUGAAAUGGAUACUAAGGUAUCUAAAGGGAACACAAAGAACUUGUCUGAUAUAUAAAACUGGAAGUAAAGGUGAUGAUCCUCUGAUUGGGUAUGUGGACUCAGACUUUGCAGGGAGCAUAGGCACAAGAAAAUCCUUGACUGGUUAUAUUUUUACGUUGCUUGGUACUGCUAUAAGUUGGAAAGCAAAUUUACAAGUUGUGGUUGCUCUUUCGACAAUUGAAGCUGGAUAUUUUUUGUUGUAACAGAGGCAAUAAAUGAAACAAUUUGGUUAAAAUGUAUAAUUGAGGAGUUGGGACUAAAACUUAAAGUGUUUUGUGAUAAUCAAAGCACAAUACACCUGACUAAAAAUCAAAUGUUUCACAAGAGGACAAAACAUGUUAAUGUUAAAAUGCAUUUUGUAAGGGAAAUAGUGGCUGGAAGAAUUGCGGUAGUGGUGAAGAUAUCAACAGAAGAUAAUCCAAUUGAUAUGAUUACAAAAACAAUAACAACUGGUAAGUUUAGACAUUGUUUGAACUUGAUUAAUGUUCAAGAAUGCUCAAGCCCUCUGAAGGUCGGUCACCUCUUUGAUAAGAAGAAAUUAGGGGCCAAGGUGGAGAUUUGUUAUAAGUGUGAUGCAUAAAUUUCUGCCACUUGUUAUCUGAAAUGGUUAGUUAGUUAGUUUCAUUUUUUUGUUAUUUUCUCUUGUAACCUGAACCAUUUAUAUGGAAAGAGAAAGAAAGCAUAGCAGAGAAAAGAGCUUUUGAUUAAAGAGCUUUUGAUUUUCCAGAGAGUGCAUUUUUUGUGUGUAAUUCCAAGACACAACAUUUUUUCAUUUUUUUGUAAAAAGAGAAAGUAUUUGGAAAAUCAAAUUGAAAAUGCAGAGUGAAAUGCAAUAAACUUUUUGGCUUGAUAAAGAGAAGCUUUCUUAAACAAGAUUUACAAAAGAAAAACUGAUCUGGAAGACUAGAAAUUGCAAUAGGAUAAAUUAAUCGGAUGAAUUAGAUAAUUACAACAUCGGUCAAGUCAUAUCUGGAAGUGUUAUUAGAAGAGAACUUCGAAACAUGAAAUCGUUAAGUAAGAACCACACCUUGAUACUAUAAUGAAACAUAAAUUAUUCAGUAGCACCUACAUUUUAAUUGCGAAAUCAAUUUACAGAUCCUCUAUUUUGUCCUCUUGGCAUAUUCCAUUCAAGAAUGUCUUCCUAUAUCAUUUGUUGUCUUAUUGUGUACUUAUGGUUAACUACGUCAAUAGUUAGUUUUUUGGAUUUUUUGGAAGAGACAUUUUGGAGAGAUUAGGUGGAUCUGAAUCUUGAUUUUAAUGACCUUUGAUUCUUAGUUUAGAAUUUUUUUUUUUGAUUGAUUUAUAGUAUAUUUGCAUUUGUUUAGAAUUUUAAAACCUAAUUAAUAAUUAGUUUCAUUUAUUUUUAAGAAAUAAAGUGUAAUAAGUGUUUGAUAAUGAAUUAAGACAAAAUCUUCUAUAAUUAAGGAUUAAUAUGAUUCAAUUACUUUGUUAAAAUCAUUUUAUAAAUUAUAGAAUUUGAUAUAUUAACUAUGUUUAUUAAUUAGAUAAAUUGAGAAUUAAUAUAUUAUGAUCAUUAAAUAUAUGUUUUAAAAUUUUAAAUCAUGCUAGAACAAUAUUUAUUUCAGUAUUUUAUGAACAUUAAAUUAAAAUAUAUAUUUAAAUGACUUGCAAAUAUUAAAUUAAAUUUUAAAAAAUAAAAAAUAAUAAGAUGAGUUAUUUUUUAUCUAAUAACAUUGCACUAAAUAUCCAUUUUCAUAACAUCUUAGAUUUCUAUCUUCUUUAUCAUUCUCAUAAUCUAAAAAAAUAAUUAUAAAAAAUAAUAAGCGCUCCUUCAGGCAUCAUCCUCUGGUGCAUCAGCUCGCCCAUUAGUCCAUUAAUUUUAAAGAUUCCCUAACCGUUCGUAGCUGCUGCACCUAGACCCUACUAGCUUACACCUAAUCCCAUCGCCCAUAAUCCUAACCCAUUAGCCUUUCAUAGCUGCAACUGCAAAGUACCUACCCAGACCCUACUAGCUUACACCUAAUCCCGUCACCCACAAUCCUAACCCAUUAGCCUUUCAUGACAACAGCUGCAAGGUAGCUGGACCAGUGAUCCCUUACCACUUUUGUAGCUGUUGGAGAGUUUUGGGUCAAAACGUCCCAUUUAUGAAAAAUAUAUAUAUAUAAUAAAAUAAAUAAAUAAAUAAAAUUAGAUAUAACUACUUUAACAAACUUAUAUUUUGGCAUAAUGUAAAAUUCAUAUCAUUAAAAUAUAUAUAUAUAUUUAAAAAUUUUAGUUAAAGUCUCAAUUGAUAACUAAGAUUUUAUUUUUUAAUUAAAAUCAUAGUUGCCAAUUAAAGUUUCAAUUUUUAAACUAAAGCCGUAAUUUUUUUAAAUAAAACCUUAUUUGACAACUGAGAUUUCAUUUUUGAAUUAAAACCUUAAUUACCAAUUGAGAUUUCAAUUAAUUUUUUUACAUUAAAAUUUAAUUAAAAAAUAUUAAAUUAUAAUUUAUCAUUGAAAUUAAAAAAUAUACUUUAAUAAUAAAUUAUUUAUAUUUAAGGUUAAGAAUAUAGUAUUACUUCAAUAAACAUAAAUUGAUAAAUAGAAUAUAUUAUAAAUGAAUAUUUUAUUUAUUAAUAAAUUAAUAAUCUUAAAAUAAUAAAUUUAUAUAACAUAUAAAUAAGAUAUAACAUUGUAUGAUUUAUUAAUUUAAGUAUUUAUUUGUUGUUUUUUAAGAUAUUAAUUUAUUUGUAUUAUGAUAUAUAUAUAUAUAUAUAUAUAUAUUACUUUCAAAUUUAAUUAAAAAAUAUUAAAUUACAACUUAUUAUUGAAAUUAAAAACAUAUAUUUUAAUAAUAAAUUAUUUAUAUUUAAACUUAAAAAUCUAGUAUUACUUCAAUAAACAUAAAUUGAUAAAUAUAAUACAAUAAAUGGAUAUUUUAUUUAUCAAUAAAUCAAUAAUCUUAAAAUAAUAAAAUUAUAUGACAUACAUAUAAGAUAUAAAAUUUCAUAAUUUAUUAAUUUAAGAUAUUUAAUUUGUUAUUUUUUAAGAUAUUAAUUUAUUUGUAUUAUGACAAAUUUAUCUUUAUAGAAAUAAUAAUAUACUCUUAAGUUUCCAUAUAUAGAUUUUUUCACAAAAAUAGUUAAUGAAAUUAAUUAGAAAAAGUCUACUAUAAAAUAUAAUUUUUAAUAGUUUUAUCAAAGUUACAAAAAAUACUCACUAAACAUUUAUAUACUGGGAAAAAAAAACAUAUAUAAUCUUAUAUGCUUCCAUAAGGAGUGAACAUAUGGAUAAAUUUAACAUAAUACAAAUAAAUUAAUAUCUAAAAAACAACAACAAACUAAAUACUUAAAUUAAUAAAUUAUACAAUUUUAUAUCUUAUUUAUAUGUUAUAUAAAAUUAUUAUUUUAAGAUUAUUAAUUUAAAAAUAAAUAAAAUAUUUAUUUAUAAUAUCUUUUAUUUAUUAAUUUAUGUUUGUUGAAGGAAUACUAGAUUCUUAAACUUAAAUAUAAAUAAUUUAUUAUUAAAAUAUAUAUUUUUAAUUUCAAUAAUAAAUUAUAACUUAAUAGUUUUUAAUUAAAUUUUGAAGUAAAAAAAAAAAAAAAUUAACUGAAGCCUUAGUUGGUAAUUGAGGCUUUAGUUCAAAUAUGAAGUUUCAAUUAUCAAUUAAGGUUUCAGUUAAAAAAUAAAGUUUCAAUUGAUAAUUGCGACUUCAAUUCAAAAAUUGAAAUGAAGACUCAGUUACUAAUUGAGGUUUCAAUUAAAAUUUUAAAUAUAUAUAUAUAUAUAUAUAUAUAUAUAUAUAUAUAUAUAAAUUUGAACAUAAAUUUCAGUCAUUACAUAUAAAUUUUUUAUUUUUAUAUAUUUAAAUAUGGGUCAUUUUGACCCAAAACGCUCUGUUAGAGCACCACAAUGAAGCCAAUAUCAACUGCUAAAGUCACACCUCAUAGCCACACAACAAAGAGUCUCAUCAACUGUCUCAUCUCUCUGCCACAAUCCAGCUUUAUGUCACAGGAUACUUCAAAUGAACCUCCUCAUGGGCUUAUAUAGAGCCUAGGAAGCUUAUGGAGACUCCUACACUUAGCCAUUAGUGAGAAGAGUGUGGAAGGUUCUAGAGAUGCCUAGAGAAGUCCACACAUCUCUACACUAAGGUGGAAGGCAUGAGAGGAGUCCAAAGCUUUCUAUAGAAUUAUAGAGGUCUCUUGUAAAUAGACUUGUACAUAGAAUGGUGUAGGGUGUUCUAGAAUAUUCUUGAAUUGUAAGGAACCUCCAAGGUGCCAGAGAGUUCAAUUGGUACCUAUAAAUAGGUGAGUGUCUCAUUUGGCCAAGGCACCAAGCAAGUGAGUUCCCAAAAGCACUUGUAAAGCUUCUUUUGAGUAAUAAAAGCUUUCAUUCUUUAAGCGUCACCUACUACGCCUUCUAAAACUUUAUAGUCGUGAGCAUCUUAGCCUAGCAAAUUAAGCAUUGAGAGUAAGGUUGACUUAGCAAGAUCGAGUGUCUUGACUUGUCUAAGUGCCACACGAGCUUAGGAAAAUCCUAAGUUUAUGACAAGUGGUAUCAGAGCGCGGCUAUGAAGCAAGCAUAGUAAAAGAAGCAUGUCGGGCUAACAUAUAGGAGACUAGAGAGCAAACCCGUGGGAGGGAGAUCAAGCCUAUUGCACAAGGUAGGAACAAUAAGGAUAAAUCUCAUGAUGUCAUAGCCAACAUGGAGGCAAGGCUAGCCAAGGUGGAACUAGCCAUGGCAAACACUUGGGAGGGGUGGACUUGAUUAAGCAGGGCAUGGAGAAGGGCUUAGAAGAUCUAAGGGAACAAAUACAAGACCUUCGUGAGGGGGUUCUAGGCUCACAAGUUCAACCGGUGUCAUACGAGGAGUUCAUGUCAUUCCAAGACAAGGUCAUGAGCAUGUUCGCUAGUAUAGAGUCAAGGGUGGAGGCCUUGGUUGCACGCAUGAAGACCUGAGACUAGGAGAUUCGACAAGAAAUGACCAUCUAUAAGAUUGCGAUAUCAAUAUGAGUCAUGGCUACUCAUGAGGCACCAAGAGUGGAGAUGCCCAAGCCACAUACGUUCAAUGGCAAGAGAGAUGCUAAGGAGCUGGAUAACUUCCUAUGGCACAUGGAGCAUUACUUUGAGGCUAUUGCACUGACGGAUGAAGCCACUAAGGUACGCACCGCAACCCUCUAUCUCACUGAUAAUGCUACUCUAUGGUAGCGUCGGAGGUUUGCCGAUAUAGAAAAAGAGAUGUGCACCAUAGACACAUGGGAUGUCUUUAAGUGAGAAAUCAAAAGACAAUUAUACCCUGAAGAUGUGGCUUACCUAGCGAGGAAGAAUAUGAAGCAUCUCAAGCACAUGUGCUUGAUCCAUGAGUAUGUCAAAGAGUUCUCUACGCUCAUACUUGAGAUACCUAACAUGUCCGAGGAGAAGCUACUGUUCAAUUUCAUGGACAACCUGCAAAGCUUGGCUAAGCAAGAGUUGAGGAGACGUGGUGUCCAAGACCUAGCCAUGACCAUGGCAGUAGUAGAGUCCUUGGUGGAAUAUAAAAGGGAAGACUCCUCCAAACCCAAGCCACAAUCCAAAAGUAAUCAUGCUAAAGGUGGGGAAGACAAGGGAUCACGAGGCUACCCUUCUAAAGAAGGAUCAAGCAGAGGCCCUAGUGGCAAUGAUGGAAAAGGCAAGGAUAAAUGGAAGGAGUUCAUGCCUAGGACCAAUUGCUUCUUAUGUGAUGGUCCACACUGGGUACGGGAUUGUCCCAAGAGGAAAGCCUUAAAUGCUAUGAUCGAGGAAAAAGAGAAGGAAGACAAUGCUCAUGUAGGAUCAUUACAACUCCUAAACACCCUCAAGGCCAAGUUGGUGCCUACGAUGCCUCAAAGCAGAGGAUUAAUGUAUGUAGAAGCCCUUGUAAAUGGGAAUGCCACCAAGGCCCUGGUGGACGCCGGUGCCAUUCAUAACUUUGUCUCGGAGGAUGAGACAAAGUGACUAGAGCUCCAAGCAUCCAAAGAAAGAGGUUGGCUUAAGACAAUUAAUUCCGCUGCCAAACCAUCACACGGAGUAGCUCACGGGGUGACUAUGCACAUCGACUCAUGGGAAGGAAAUAUCAACUUCACAGUGGCACCCAUGGAUGCCUUCAAGAUGGUACUAGGGAUGGACUUCCUAUAAAAGGUCAAGGUCGUGCCACUACUCUUCCUACGCUCAAUGGCUAUCUUAGAGGAGGAGAAUCCAUGCAUGGUCCCUAUGGUCACCGAAGGUUCAUCCAAGACCCCUAUGUUAUCAGCUAUGCAAGUAAAGAAGAGAUUAAAGAGAAAAGAGGUGACAUACCUUGCCACCCUUAAAGAAAAAAAGGAUGAUGGGUCGGGAGAACCCAUGCUUAAUGAAAUCAAGGAAAUCCUUGAUGAGUUCAAGGACAUGAUGCCGCUCGAGUUGCCCAAGAGACUUCUUCCUAGGAAUGAGGAAGACCAUAAGAUCGAGAUAGAGCCGAGAGCUAAGUCUCUAUGCUAUGAGACUAUACAGGAUGGCACUGCCCGAACUGGAAGAGCUAAAGAGACAACUUAAGGAGUUGUUGGACGCAGGGUUCAUCCAACCAUCCAAGGCUCCCUACGGCGCACCGGUCUUGUUUUAGAAGAAGCAUGAUGGGUCCCUACGGAUAUGUAUCAACUACCGGGCACUCAACAAGGUAAUGGUAAAGAACAAAUACCCUAUUCCGCUCAUCGUUGGCUUGUUCGAUCAACUUGGUAGGAUGAGAUACUUCACGAAGUUAGACUUGAGGUAAGACUACUACCAAGUAAGGAUUAUGGAAGGGGAUAAACCGAAGACCACAUGUGUGACCAAGUAUGGCUCAUAUGAGUUCUUAGUGAUGCCCUUCGGUUUCACCAAUGCCCCAACAAUGUUCUACACACUCAUGAAUAAGAUCUUCCAUCCAUAUCUAGACAAGUUCAUGGUGGUAUACUUGGAUGACAUAGUCAUCUAUAGUAACACCUUAAAGGAGCAUGUCGAGCAUUUAAGGAAGGUCUUUAAAAUCCUAAGGCAGAACGAGCUAUAUGUAAAGAAGGAGAAAUGCUCAUUUUCUAAGAAAAAAGUUAGCUUCCUAAGGCAUCGCAUCAAGGAUGGCAGACUAAUGAUGGCUAAUAGUAAGGUGAAAGCCAUCCAGGAAUGAGAUUUACCAACCUAGGUACCUUAGCUCAGAUAUUUCCUUAGUUUAGUUAAUUACUACUGGCGGUUCAUCAAGGGUUAUUCGGUAAGGGCAACUCCACUCAAUGAUCUUUUUAAGAAUAACAAGGCAUGAGAAUGGGAUGAAAGGUGCCAACAAGCCUUUAAAUAUCUAAAAAAAGUUGUGACUGAGGAGCCAGUGUUGGCACUACCCGACCACACCAAGGUUUUUUAGGUACACACAGAUGCCUCAGACUUCGCUAUUGGAGGAGUCCUUAUGUAAGAUAGGCAUCUAAUCGCCUUCGAGAGUCGCAACCUAAAUGACAUGGAGAGGCACUACACGGUGCAAGAGAAAGAAAUGACCACCAUCGUCCAUUGCUUGCGCACCUAGAGACACUAUCUUCUAGGGUUUCACUUCAUAGUGAAGACCAACAAUGUUGCCACUAGCUACUUCCAAACACAGAAGAAGUUAAGCCCUAAGCAAGCUAGGUGGCUAGACUUCCUGGCCGAGUUCGACAAUACGCUGGAGUAUAAGUCAGGAAACAUUAAUCAUGUGGACAACGCCCUAUGCUGUAAGACAGAACUAGCAUCUAUGAUGAGUCAGCCCCAAUGAGACAUAAUGAAUCUUCUAAGGGAGGGGCUACAACAUGAUCCAGUGGCUAAGAGCCUCAUAGCCCUGGCUGGUGAAGGGAAAACUAAGUAGUUUUGGGUAGAAGACAACUUACUCUACACUAAGGAGAGACGACUCUACGUGCCUAAGUGAAGGAACAUAAGAAGGAAUCUGAUUAAGGAGUGUCAUGACACCAAGUGGGCUGGGCACCCCGAGCAAUGACGCAUGAGGGUAGUACUUGAGUUGGCUUACUACUGGCCUCAAAUACGAGAUGAAGUUGAGGCCUAUGUGAGGACUUGUCUUGUGUGCUAGCAAAACAAGGUGGAGCAACGACAGUGUAGAGGCCUGUUAGAACCACUACCAAUAGCAGAGUGCCCAUGUGACAAUGUCACCAUGGACUUCAUCAUCGAGCUACCCAAUUCGGAGGACAACGACUAUAUCAUAGUAAUAGUGGACAUGUUCUCUAAGUAUGCGACCUUCAUCGCAUCCCCGAUUGACUGCACUGCGGAGGAGAUGUCGAGACUAUUCUUAAAGCACGUAGUCAAGUAUUGGGGGUUACCUAAGUAUAUUAUCAAUGAUUGCGAUCCGCAUUUCAUUGGGAAGUUUUAGAUGGAGCUUUUCAAGCUUAUGGGUUCGGAGCUUCACUUCUCCACAAGCUUUUGCCCAUAGACAGAUGGGUAGACUGAGAGAGUGAAUGCCUUAUUGGAGCUAUACUUGAGGCACUUCGUGAGUGCCAACUAGAAUGAUUGGGCUAAGUUGCUAGAUAUAGCCUAGUUCUCAUACAACUUGCAAAUGAAUGAGGCAACCAACAAGAGCCCGUUCGAGUUAGCCACAUGGCAGCAACCCUUAACUCUUCACACACUAACGAUAGGCUAUACAAGGAGAAGUCCAGCGGCUUUCAAGUUCGCAAAGGGAUAACACGAGCAAGUUGACAUAACACGCUCAUACUUGGACAAGGCCACUAAGAAAAUAAAGAAGUGGGCUGACAGGAAGCAACGUCACACGGAGUACAAGGUUGGAGACAUGGUGUUUGUCAAGCUCUUUCCUCAACAAUUCAAAUCCCUAAUGUUGGUGCAUAAGGGCCUUGUGAGGAGGUAUGAAAGACCCUUCCCCAUACUUGGGAAGGUCGGCAAGGUGUCUUAUAAAGUUGAGUUACCACCAAGGUUGAAGAUUCAUUCCGUCUUUCAUGUAAGUUACUUGAAACCAUAUCACGAAGACAAGGAUGAUCCAAGCCAAGGGUUUUCUAAAAGGGCACCUACAGCGGUCGUGACCUCUUAUGACAAGAAGGAAGAACACAUCAUCACAUAUCGAGUCAUUAUAAGACGAGGUGUGCCUCCUACUACAGAGUACUUAGUGAAAUGGAAGAGACUACCAGAGAGUAAGGCUACCUGGGAGCCAGCAGAUGCACUAUGGCAAUUCCAAGAGUAGAUUGAGCAGUUCCGGGAAAAAUGCACGACAAGGAUGUUUGCGACUUAAAUGGGAGAAAGUGUCACAAGAUGCUUCAAAUGAGCCUUCAUAUGGGCUUAUAUAGAGCCUAUGAAGCUUUUGGACACUCCUACACUUAGCCAUCAGUGGGAAGAGUGUGGAAGGUUCUAAAAAUGCCUAGAGAAGUCCACACAUCUCUACAUUAAGGUGGAAGACAUGAGAGGAGUCCAAGGCUUUUUAGAGACUUCUAGAGGUCUAUUGUAAAUAGACUUGUACAUAGAAUGGUGUAGGGUGUUCUAGAAUAUUCUUAAAUUGUAAGGAGCCCUCCAAGGUUCUAGAGAGUUCCAUUGGUGCCUAUAAAUAGGUGAGGGCCUUAUUUGGCCAAGGCACCAAGCAAGUGAAUUCCCAAAAGCACUUGUAAAGCUUCAUUUGAGCAAUAAAAACUUUCAUUCUUUAAGUGUUGCCUACUACGCCUUCUAAAACUUCGGAGUCGUGAGCAUCUUAGCCUAGCAAGCUAAGUAUUAGGAGUAAGGUUGACUUAGCAAGAUCAAGUGUCUUGACUUGUCUAAGUGCUGCACGAGCUUAGGAAAAGACUAAUUCUAUGACAUUUAGCUGUCUAGGACCACAUCAAUACAGCCCCCGUCAGCUACUCAUCCCUACAAUAAUUCAACAUGCAUCAUCGACUUUUGGGGCAAAAUAGCCAUUUCAUGUAAAAAAAGAUAUCAGUUUUAGCCCCCUUACAAAACUUAUGUUCAAAUUGGCCCCUUUAUUGCCACAUAGGAGUCAUGUCAUAAUUUUUUUAUUUUAUAAAAUUUAAGUUGAAGCCUUAGUUGCCAACUAAGGCUUCAUUUUUGAACUGAAGCCUCAAUUGCCAACUAAGGCUUCAUUUUUUAACUAAAGUCUCAGUUACCAUUUGAGGUUUCAGUUAUUUUAUUUUUUUAGUUUAAAAUUUAAUUAAAAAUAUUAAAUUUUAAAUUAUUAUUGAAAAUUUAAAAAAUAUACUUUAAUAAUAAAAAUUUAUAUAUUUAAACUUAAAUAUCUAAUAUUACUUCAAUGAAGAUAAUUUGAAAAAUAUAAUAAAUAAAUAUUUUAUUUAUCAAUUAAUUAAUAAUAUUAAAAUAAUACAAUUAUAUGACAUAUAAAUAAAAUAUAGAAUUAUAUCAUUUAUUAAUUUAAGUUAUAUCACAUGUAAUAUUAGGGAGGGAUUUUUUUUUUCCAUUAUAUAAAUGUUUAAUGGGUAUUUUUUUUUUUACUUUGAUGAAAUAACUAAAAAUUACAUUUUGUCGUAGAUUUUUUCUAAUUAAUUUCAAAAUGUAUUUUCAAGACAUAUAUAUUAUGUGUACAAAUAAUAGUAUUUUUUAUGUUAAAUUAUAAAUAUAUGCUUUAAAAUUAAAAAAAAAUCUAUAUAUGGAAACUUAAGAAUAUACAAUUAUUUCAAUAAAGAUAAAUUUUUCAAAUUAAAAAUAAAAUAAUAUAUUAAAAAUACAACAAAUUAAAUAUCUUAAAUUAAUAAAUAAUAUAAUUUUAUAUCUUAUUUAGAUUUCAUAUAAUUUUAUUAUUUUAAGAUUAUUAAUUUAUUGAUAAAUAAAAUAUUCAUUUAUUAUUAUAUUUAUUAAUUUAUCUUUAUUGAAGUAUUAUUAGAUCUUUAAGUUUAAAUAUAUAAAUUAUUAUUAUUAUAUAUUUUUAAUUUCAAUAAUAAUUUGUAAUUUAAUAUUUUUAAUUAAAUUUUAAAGUAAAAAAAAAAAAAUAAACGAAGCCUCAAUUGCCAAUUGAGGCUUUAGUUAAAAAAUGAAGCCUCGAUUGGCAAUUGAGACUUUAGUUCAAAAAUGAACUCUCAAUUGGCAGCUGAGGUUUCAAGUUAAAUUUUGAAAAAAAAUAAAAAUUUGUGACAUGGUUCUUAUAUGGCAAUAAAAGAACUAAUUUGAACAUAAGUUUUAUAAAGCGGCUAUGUGACAAUAAAAUGGCUAAUUUGAACAAAAGUUUUGUAAAAUAGAAGCUAAUAUUUCUUUACAUGAAAGGGUUAUUUUGGCCCAAAACUUUGCCUCGACCCUCCCUAGCAGCCCCUCAUACAAACCAUAACCCUAGUCGUCCAAGCUACAUUGCACGAAGCCAUCCACUAGCUGUCCUUCCCGCCAUUUCACUAUCAAAAGCUCUCAUCUAAUAUGUCAUGACUGCAACAACCAUCCACCGGUUAUCCACUCUUUCUUCCAUUUCUCAUACCCAUGUCUCAAACUUCAACUUCCUUUCUUCUGCCCUUAGCUUUCUUUCUCUUCUUUCCAGACCAUAUGAAUCCACAUUAUCCAUCUUCAUUUUCCUAUAUUUUCUCUUUCAAGCUCUCUUUCCCAACUUCACAUGGUAGUAACAAAAACUCUCAUUCCCAUCAACUCAUUUCUUUUCCCAUCGUUGUGGCAUCUCUCACCCGCACCUCCAUCUACCAUUUUCUAGAAUUCAUCUGCAACUACUGGACAACCUAGGCUAUGCCAGAAGCGAAAUAUGGAAGAAAGAGAAGAGUAGCCUAAGCCGAGCAAUAGUUUUCUUCCUUACAUACCUCGUCGGGGUUGUUUUCAGUUUCAUAGUUGUUGUUUCAAUCCCAAGCGCUUCUCUCUACACUACUGACGAUAACUAGCUCACCAUCCUCUUUGACCUUUCUUGCGAAGUGAUCGAUGACGCCAUUGAUGAGAACUCCAACUUGAUCAGCAGUUUUCUUCAAAAUGGCUUGAGCUAUGUUUGCGAGAAGUUUGGUUCAAAACUUGCAUUUCAGACCUUGAAAGCUCCAUUUCUGGUUCUGCAAUUCUCAGCAUAGCUGGAAAGAUGAAGUACUUUGGUGCUGGUUUUCUUCCCCGACGUGUUG